rnacentral:lncRNA from 1 species
CCCCCCCUCCUAUAGGUGCUCUCAAUUGGUAUCAGAUCCAUUCUCUUCACAAAGGGACUAACCGCUCGAAGAGAUGGAUCCUAAAGGGAAGGGAAUCGUGAUCAACGACAAGGAGAAGGAGUCCUUCGUCAACGAGCCAAGGGAUGACAAGUCCAACGACUCGGGCUCGGGCCACAGACGCAAAGAUGGGAAGAAGAACAAGACAAGACACAUCAAGGAGAUCGUCUACUACGACAGCGAUGAGUCUACUUCCUCCCAAAAGGACGACGACCACAAUGAAUACGAGAGAAAGAAACCGGUCAAUUCGAACUUUUCUUUUGAUUACUCUCGUAUUCCUCAAAGUACUAAUGCUCAUUUAUUAUCUAUUCCACUUGGUAAACCUCCUCAUUUUGAUGGAGAGGACUACGGAUUUUGGAGUCACAAAAUGCGUAGUCACUUGUUCUCUCUCCAUCCUAGCAUAUGGGAGAUUGUAGAAAGUGGAAUGCACUUUGAUAGCACGAAUAGUCCCAUGUUUAUUAAUGAACAGAUUCAUAAAAAUGCACAAGCUACUACUGUGUUGCUAGCCUCUUUGUGCAGGGACGAGUACCAUAAGGUGAGCGGCUUGGACAAUGCCAAGCAGAUCUGGGACACCCUCAAGAUCUCUCAUGAGGGGAAUGAUGUCACCUUGCUCACCAAAAUGGAGUUGGUGGAAGGCGAGCUUGGACGGUUCGCGAUGAUAAGGGGCGAGGAGCCGACACAAACAUACAAUCGGCUCAAGACCCUCAUCAACAAAAUAAGGAGCUACGGGAGCACGCGAUGGACGGACCACGACGUCGUCCGCCUAAUGCUAAGGUCAUUUACCAUUCUUGAUCCUCAUUUGGUAAACAAUAUACGUGAAAAUCCCAGGUACACCAAGAUGUCGCCCGAAGAAGUUCUUGGGAAAUUCGUUAGUGGGCGAAUGAUGAUCAAGGAGGCGAGGUACGUAGACGACGCCUUGAAUGGUCCGAUCAACGAGCCGCAACCCCUUGCUCUCAAGGCAACACGAAGCAAGGAGGCGCUACCUAGCAAGGUGGCACAGAUUGAGGCGGCCGGACUUAAUGAUGAAGAGAUGGCUCUCAUCAUCAAAAGAUUCAAGACGGUGCUUAAAGGUCGCAAGGGACAGCCAAGCAAGACCAAAGCCAAGGGGAAGCGCUCAUGCUUCAAAUGCGGUAAGCUUGGUCAUUUUAUUGCUAACUGUCCCGACAAUGAUAGUGAUCAGGAUCAAGGGAACAAGAGGGAGAAAAAGAAUAAUUAUAAGAAGGCAAAGGGCGAGGCUCAUCUUGGCAAGGAGUGGGAUUCGGACUGCUCUUCGUCCGACUCCGACAAUGAAGGACUCGCCGCCACCGCCUUCAACAAGUCAUCCCUCUUCCCCAACGAGCGACACACUUGCCUCAUGGCAAGGGAGAAGAAAGUAAGCACUCAUAAUACUAGUACUUAUGCUUCUUCAAGUGAGGAUGAGUCUAGUGAUGAUGAUGAGAUAGAUUACUCAUGCUUAUUCAAGGGAUUAGAUAGAACCAAGGUAGACAAAAUUAAUGAAUUGAUUGAUGCCUUGAAUGAUAGGAAUAUACUUUUAGAAAAACAAGAGGAUUUGUUGUAUGAAGAACAUGAUAAAUUUGUAGAAGCUCAAAAUUCUCUUGCUCUAGAAAUUAAAAGGAAUGAAAUGCUCUCUAGUGAAUUAUCUACUUGUCAUGAAUCCAUCUCUAAAUUAAAAAGUGUUAAUGAUGAUUUGAAUGCUAAGUUAGAAAUAGCUAGUAAAUCAACAUCUUGUGUAGAAAUUGUUGAAACUUGUAAUAGGUGUAAAGAUUUUGACAUUGAUGCUAGUAGUGAACACCUAGUUUCAAUUUCCAAACUUAAUGAUGAAUUGGCUAGUCUUAAUGCUCAACUUAAGACUAGCAAGAGUAAUUUUGAUAAGCUAAAAUUUGCAAGGGAUGCCUACACAAUUGGUAGACACCCCUCAAUCAAGGAUGGACUUGGCUACAAGAGGGAAGCCAAGAACUUGACAAGCCAUAAGGCCCCCAUCUCCGCCAAGGAGAAAGGAAAGGCCCCUAUGGCUAGUAGUGUGCAAAAGAACCAUGCUUUUAUGUACCAUGAUAGGAGACAAUCUAGAAAUGCUUAUAGAAGUUGUAAUGCAUAUAAUGCCCUUGAUUCUCAUGCCAUGUUUGCUUCUAGUUCUUCUUAUGUGCAUGAUAGAAAUGUUGGUAGGAGAAAUGAUGUUCAUAAUGUUCCUAGGAAAGUAAAUGAACCCUCUACAAUUUAUCGUGCUUUAAAUGCUUCCUUUGCUAUUUGUAGAAAGGAUAGGAAAAUAGUUGCUAGAAAAUUAGGGGCAAGAUGCAAGGGAGACAAAACUUGCAUUUGGGUCCCUAAGGAUAUUUGUGCUAACCUUGCAGGACCCAACAUGAGUUGGGUACCUAAGACCCAAGCAUAAAUUUGCCUUGCAGGUUUAUGCAUCCGGGGGUUCAAGCUGGAUUAUUGACAACGGAUGCACAAACCAUAUGACGGGGGAGAAGAAGAUGUUCACCUCCUACGUCAAGAAUAAAGAUUCCCAAGAUUCAAUAAUAUUCGGUGAUGGGAAUCAAGGCUAGGUAAAAGGGUUAGGUAAAAUUGCAAUCUCAAAUGAGCACUCUAUCUCUAAUGUGUUUUUAGUAGAGUCUCUUGGAUAUAAUUUGCUAUCUGUUAGUCAAUUAUGCAAUAUGGGAUAUAACUGUUUGUUUACAAAUGUAGAUGUGUCUGUCUUUAGAAGAUGUGAUGGUUCACUAGCUUUUAAGGGUAUUCUAGACGGCAAGCUUUACUUAGUUGAUUUUGCAAAAGAAGAGGCCGGUCUAGAUGCAUGCUUAAUGGCUAAGACUUGCAUGGGCUGGCUGUGGCAUCGCCGCUUAGCACAUGUGGGGAUGAAGAACCUCCACAAGCUUCUUAAGGGAGAACACGUGAUAGGUCUAACCAAUGUUCAUUUCGAAAAAGAUAGACCUUGUGCAGCUUGUCAAGCAGGGAAACAGGUGGGAGGCUCUCAUCACACCAAAAUUGUGAUGACAACAUCAAGACCCCUGGAGCUGCUACAUAUGGACCUCUUCGGAUCCGUCGCCUAUCUGAGCAUAGGAGGAAGUAAGUAUGGUCUAGUUAUCGUUGAUGACUUUUCCCGCUUCACUUGGGUGUUCUUUUUGCAGGAUAAGUCUGAAACCCAAGGGACCCUCAAGCGCUUCCUCAGGAGAGCUCAAAAUGAGUUUGAGCUCAAGGUGAAGAAGAUAAGGAGCGACAACGGGUCCGAGUUCAAGAACCUUCAAGUGGAGGAGUUCCUUGAGGAGGAAGGGAUCAAGCACGAGUUCUCCGCUCCCUACACACCACAGCAAAAUGGUGUGGUAGAGAGGAAGAACAGGACGCUAAUCGAUAUGGCGAGGACGAUGCUUGGAGAAUUCAAGACCCCCGAGUGUUUCUGGUCGGAAGCCGUGAACACGGCUUGCCACGCCAUCAACAGGGUCUACCUUCAUCGCCUCCUCAAGAAGACUUCGUAUGAGCUACUAACCGGUAACAAACCCAAUGUAUCUUACUUUCGUGUAUUUGGGAGCAAGUGCUACAUUCUAGUAAAGAAGGGUAGAAAUUCUAAGUUUGCUCCCAAAGCUGUAGAAGGGUUUUUGUUAGGUUAUGACUCAAAUACAAAGGCGUAUAGAGUCUUCAACAAAUCAUCGGGUUUGGUUGAAGUCUCUAGCGACGUUGUAUUUGAUGAGACUAAUGGCUCUCCAAGAGAGCAAGCUGUUGAUCUUGAUGAUGUAGAUGAAGAAGACGUUCCAACGGCCGCUAUGCGCACCAUGGCGAUUGGUGAUGUGCGACCACAGGAACAAUUGGAGCAAGAUCAACCUUCUUCCUCAACAAUGAUGCAUCCCCCAACUCAAAACGAUGAACAUGUUCAUCAAGAGGAGUGUGAUCAAGGGGGAGCACAAGAUGAUCAUGUGAUGGAGGAAGAAGCACAACCGGCACCUCCAACCCAAGUUCGAGCGAUGAUUCAAAGGGAUCAUCCCAUCGACCAAAUUCUGGGUGAUAUUAGCAAGGGAGUAACUACUCGAUCUCGAUUAGUUAAUUUUUGUGAGCAUUACUCCUUUGUCUCUUCUAUUGAGCCUUUCAGGGUAGAAGAGGCCUUGCUAGAUCCGGACUGGGUGUUAGCCAUGCAGGAGGAACUCAACAACUUCAAGCGAAAUGAAGUUUGGACACUGGUGCCUCGUCCCAAGCAAAACGUUGUGUGAACCAAGUGGGUAUUCCGCAACAAACAGGACGAGCACGGGGUGGUGACGAGGAACAAGGCUAUGCCCAAGUCGCAGGUUUGGACUUUGAGGAGACGUUUGCUCCUGUGGCUAGGCUAGAAUCAAUUCGUAUCUUGCUAGCAUAUGCCGCUCACCAUUCUUUCAGGUUGUUCCAAAUGGAUGUGAAGAGCGCUUUCCUCAACGGGCCAAUCAAGGAGGAGGUGUACGUGGAGCAACCCCCUGGCUUCGAGGAUGAACGGUACCCCGACCACGUGUGUAAGCUCUCUAAGGCACUCUAUGGACUUAAGCAAGCCCCAAGAGCAUGGUAUGAAUGCCUUAGAGACUUUCUAAUUGUUAAUGCUUUCAAGGUUGGGAAAGCCGAUCCAACUCUUUUUACUAAGACAUGUGAUGGUGAUUUGUUUGUGUGCCAAAUUUAUGUUGAUGACAUAAUAUUUGGUUCUACUAACCAAAAGUCUUGUGAAGAGUUUAGCAGGGUGAUGACGCAGAAAUUCGAGAUGUCGAUGAUGGGCGAGUUGAACUACUUCCUUGGGUUCCAAGUGAAGCAACUCAAGGACGGCACCUUCAUCUCCCAAACGAAGUACACGCAAGAUCUACUAAAGUGGUUUGGGAUGAAGGACGCCAAGCCCGCAAAGACUCCGAUGGGAACCGACGGACACACCGAUCUCAACAAAGGAGGUAAGUCCGUUGAUCAAAAAGCAUACCGGUCAAUGAUAGGGUCUUUACUUUAUUUAUGUGCUAGUAGACCGGAUAUCAUGCUUAGCGUAUGCAUGUGUGCUAGAUUUCAAUCCGAUCCUAAGGAGUGUCACUUAGUGGCGGUGAAGCGAAUUCUUAGAUAUUUGGUUGCUACGCCCUGCUUCGGGCUCUGGUAUCCAAAGGGGUCUACCUUUGACUUGGUUGGAUACUCAGAUUCCGACUAUGCUGGAUGUAAGGUCGAUAGGAAGAGUACAUCAGGGACGUGCCAAUUCUUAGGAAGGUCCCUGGUGUCGUGGAACUCUAAGAAACAAACCUCCGUUGCCCUAUCCACCGCUGAGGCCGAGUAUGUUGCCGCAGGACAGUGUUGCGCGCAGCUACUUUGGAUGAGGCAAACCCUCCAGGACUUUGGCUACAAUCUGAGCAAAGUCCCACUCCUAUGUGACAAUGAGAGUGCUAUCCGCAUGGCGGAAAAUCCUGUUGAACACAGCCGCACAAAGCACAUAGACAUCCGGCAUCACUUUUUGAGAGACCACCAGCAAAAGGGAGAUAUCGAAGUGUUUCAUGUUAGCACCGAGAACCAGCUAGCCGAUAUCUUCAUUAAGCCUCUAGAUGAGAAGACCUUUUGCAGGUUGCGUAGUGAGUUAAAUGUCUUAGAUUCGCGGAACCUGGAUUGAUUUAUAGCAUACAUGUGUUUAUGCCUUUAAUCAUGUUCAUUCUGCAUUGUGUUGCUUAUUAUGGUGCUCAAGUUGUACAAGCACUCCCCGGACCUCACAAGUCCUGGUGCCAGUAAUGCACAUAUUUAGGGGGAGAUGUGUUACAACUUGACCCUUUGAGACUAACCGUUUGUUUGAGUUUGAUUGUUUUAGUCUCAAAGAAGGUUUGAAAGGGAAAGGUGGACUUGGACCGUGAAAGACUUCCACUGCACUCCGAUGAGAGGGUAACUUAUUCCAAGUUCAUCUUUAAACUCUUAUUGCCUAUUUGCUCUUAAUUGAAGAUUUUGGUGAGGCAAUGGGGUCAAAGGGCCAAGAUUGAUCCCGUUUUGGUGCUUGAUGCCAAAGGGGGAGAAAAUAAAGGCCAAAGCAAUAAAUGGAUCAACUACCACUUGAGAAACUUUGAAAACAGUAGGAUAGAGCUUUUGGUUUGUCAAAACUCUUGCAUUGUCUCUUUUGUCAAAAGUUGGCCUCUUGUGGGGAGAAGUGUUGAUUAUGGGAAAAAGGGGGAGUUUUUGGAAUCUUGAAUCAAUUUUCUUUGGAAAACCUCUCUUUAUGUCUCUACAAGUGGAUUUGACUUAGAGAUAGGAUUUUGAGUUUGAUUUGCAAAAACAAACCAAGUGGUGGCAAAGGAUGAUCCAUAUAUGCCAAAUUGAAUCAAAAUAAAUUUGAGUUUUUAUUUGAAGUGAUAUUGCACUUGUUCUAGUUGCUUUAUGUUGUGUUGGCAUAAAUCACCAAAAAGGGGGAGAUUGAAAGGGAAAUGUGCCCUUGGGCCAUUUCUAAGUAUUUUGGUGAUUGAGUGCCAACACAAGUGCUUAAAUGUGAAUCUAUGCCCAUGGAUGAACAAAGUGCAAAUCAAGAGUAAAGGUAUGUUUCUAAGCCUUAGUACAUUGGUUUUGUGUACUAAUAUACUUGUCUAAGUGUUAGAAACAGAAAGAAGAAGAAAAGAAAAGAGGUGAAAAAGGCUUGGCUGUGUACAGCCAAGACUCAGCUCUGUCUGGCACACCGGACUGUCCGGUGGUGCACCGGACAGUGUCCGGUGCGCCAGGCUGGCUCGAGCGAAGUGGCCGCUCUCGGGAAUUCACCGGCGACAUACGGCUAAAAUUCACCGGACUGUCCGGUGAGCCAACGGUCGGCCGGGCCAACGGUCGGGCGCGCAAUCUGCGCGAGACACGUGGCUGAGCCAACGGCUAGAAGAUGGCACCGGACUGUCCGGUGUGCACCGGACAUGUCCAGUGCACCAACGGCUCCCAAAUCCGCAACGGUCGACUUCGCUAUUUAAGGAAGGAAAUCGGGCACCGGACUGUCCGGUGUGCACCCCGACUGUCCGGUGCCCCCGAUGACAGAAGGCAAGAAUGGCUUUCCAGAUUUUCUCUCAACGGCUCCUAGCUGCCUUGGGGCUAUAAAAGGGACCCCUAGGCGCAUGGAGGAGGAGACCAAGCAACCUUAGAGCAUUCUUGAUCAUCCACACUUAGUCUUUGCGCAUUCGUUUGUCAUUCUCAGUGAUUCGAGCUCCGUUCUAGUGAGAACUUUGAGAUAGUCUUUUGAGCUCGAUUCUUGGCCGUGUGUGUGCGCAUUUUGCUGUGGAUUUGUGUGUGUUGCUUCCCUCCCUUACUCCGUGCUUCUUUGUGAACUUUAAGUGUAAGGGCGAGAGACGCCAAUUUGUGGAGAUUCCUCGCAAGUGGGAUAAAGAUAAGCAAAGCAAAACACCAUGGUAUUCAAGUGGGUCUUUGGACCGCUUGAGAGGGGUUGAUUGCAACCCUCGUCCGUUGGGACGCCACAACGUGGAGUAGGCAAGCGUUGGUCUUGGCCGAACCACGGGAUAACCACCGUGUCAUCUCUGUGAUUGAUCUUUGUUGGUUAUUGUAUUUUGUUGAGGAUUCCUAUCUAGCCACUUGGCAAUUAUUGUGCUAACGAUUCACCAAGUUUUGUGGCUUAAGUUUUCAAGUUUCACAGGAUCACCUAUUCACCCCCCUCAAGGUGCUCUCAGGUGCGCCAUGCGACAGCACACUUCCAACAACCAUAUUGUCGGCGUUUCGAGACCGGGGGGUCCCUGGGCCGACGAGUGAAGAUGUCGCCGCGUGCCCCAGCCCAGAUGGGUCGGCGCGAGACGGAGCGCGAAGGGGGGAAAAAGUGAAAGGGAAAUGUGCCCUUGGGCCAUUUCUAAGUAUUUUGGUGAUUAAGUGCAAACACAGGUGCCAAUAUGUGAAAAUAUGCCCAUGGAUGGACAAGUUGCAAAUCACAAGUAAAGGUAUGUUUCUAAGCCUUAGUGCAUUGGUUUUGUGUACUAAUAUAUUUGUCUAAGUGUUAGAAACAGAAAGAAGAAGAAGAAGAGAAGACUUGGCUGUGUGCAGCCAAGGGGCUGUUUCGGUCUGGGGCACCGGACUGUCCGGUGGUGCACCGGACAGUGUCCGGUGGUGCACCGGACAGUGUCCGGUGCGCCAGGCUGCCUCGGCCGAAGAGGCCGCUCUCGGGUUUUUCUCCGGCGACUUCGGCUAAAAUUCACCGGACUGUCCGGUGUGCACCGGACUGUCCGGUGAGCCAACGGUCGGCCGGGCCAACGGUCGGCCGCGCGAUCGGCGCGCGACACGUGGCCGAGCCAACGGUCGGAAGGAAGCACCGGACUGUCCGGUGUGCACCGGACAUGUCCGGUGCGCCAACUGUGCGCAGAUCUGACUCAGACAGCAACGGUCGGAUGCGCUGUUUAAGGAAACAAAUCGGGCACCGGACAGUGUCCGGUGUGCACCGGACUGUCCGGUGCGCCCGACGACAGAAGGCAAGGAUAGCCUUCCAGAUGUGUUCUCAACGGCUCCUAGCUGCCUUGGGGCUAUAAAAGGGACCCCUAGGCGCAUGGAGGAGCACACCAAGCAUUCCUACAACUCUUCUAAGCACCAAGACAUCAAUCUCACGCAUUCGUUUCAUUGUGAUAGCAUAUAGAGCUCUUGUGGAGUUGUGAACUCUUUGUGUUGCGUUGCGAGCUCUUGUUGCGACUUGUGUGCGUGUUGUUGCUCUGAUUUUUGAGUCUUGUGUGCGUUGCUCAUUCCCACCUUACUCCGUAUUUCUUUGUGAACUCAAUUGUAAGGGCGAGAGACUCCAAGUUGUGGAGAUUCCUCGCAAACGGGAAAAGAUCAAAGGAAAGAAAAACACCGUGGUAUUCAAGUUGAUCAUUGGAUCACUUGAGAGGAGUUGAGUGCAACUCUCGUCCGUUGGGACGCCACAACGUGGAGUAGGCAAGUUUUGUACUUGGCCGAACCACGGGAUAACCACCGUGUCAACUCUGUGAUUGCUUUCUUGUGGUUAUCGUGUUUUGAGUUCUCUCCAGCCACUUGGCCAUACUUGUGCUAACCCUUAACAAGUUUUUGUGGCCUAAGUUUUGAACUUUUACAGGAUCACCUAUUCACCCCCCCCUCUAGGUGCUCUCAAUUGGUAUCGGAGCCGUUCUCUUCAAGAAAGGGACUAACCGCCCGAAGAGAUGGAUCCUAAGGGGAAGGGAAUUGUGAUCAACGACAAGGAGAAGGAGUCCUUCGUCAACGAGCCAAGGGAUGACAAGUCCAAUGACUCGGGCUCGGGCCACAAGCGAAGAGAUGGGAAGAAGAAGAAGACAAGACGCAUCAAGGAGAUCGUCUACUACGACAGCGAUGAGUCCUCUUCUUCCCAAAAGGACGACGACCACGACAAACAAAGGAAACCGGUUAAUUCGAACUUUUCAUUUGAUUAUUCUCGUAUUCCACAUAGUUCGAAUUCGCAUUUGCUUUCCAUUCCUCUUGGUAAACCUCCACAUUUUGAUGGGGAGGACUACGGGUUUUGGAGUCACAAAAUGCGUAGUCAUUUAUUCUCUCUCCAUCCAAGCAUAUGGGAGAUUGUAGAGAAUGGAAUGAAAUUUGAUAGCUCGGAUAGCCCUAUGUUUAUCAAUGAACAAAUUCAUAAAAAUGCACAAGCUACUACUGUUCUCUUAGCAUCUUUGUGCAGGGAAGAGUACAAUAAGGUGAGCGGCUUGGACAAUGCCAAGCAGAUAUGGGACACCCUCAAGAUCUCUCACGAGGGGAACGACAUCACCAUGCUCACCAAGAUGGAGUUGGUGGAGGGCGAGCUUGGACGAUUCGCCAUGAUAAGGGGAGAAGAGCCAACUCAAACUUACAACCGGCUCAAGACCCUUAUCAACAAGAUAAGGAGCUACGGAAGCACGCGUUGGACGGAUCACGACGUCGUUCGCCUAAUGCUCAGGUCAUUUACCGUUCUUGAUCCUCAUCUCGUGAACAAUAUUCGUGAGAAUCCCAGGUACACGAUGAUGACGCCCGAAGAAGUACUUGGAAAAUUCGUGAGCGGGCGGAUGAUGAUCAAGGAGGCAAGAUACGUCGACGACGCGUUGAAUGGUCCACUCCACGAGUCUCAACCCAUUGCUCUAAAGGCAACAAGGAGCAAGGAGUCGCUACCUAGCAAGGUGGCGCAAAUUGAGGCGGCCGGUCUUAAUGAAGAAGAAAUGGCCCUCAUUAUCAAGAGAUUCAAGACGGUGCUAAAGGGUCGCAAUGGACAGCCGAGCAAGACUAAGACCAAGGGGAAGCGAUCAUGCUUCAAAUGCGGUAAGCUUGGUCAUUUUAUUGCUAACUGUCCUGAUAAUGAAAGUGACCAGGAAAAGGGAAACAAGAGGGAAAAGAAGAAGCAUUAUAAGAAGGCAAAGGGCGAGGCACAUCUAGGCAAGGAGUGGGACUCGGAUUGCUCCUCGUCCGACUCCGAUAAUGAAGGACUCGCCGCCACCGCCUUCAACAAAUCAACCCUCUUCCCCAACGAGCGUCACACAUGCCUUAUGGCAAGGGAGAAGAAGGUAUGUACUCGCAACUCUACCUAUGCUUCUUCAAGUGAGGACGAAUCUAGUGAUGAGGAUGAAGUAGAUUAUUCAUGUUUGUUCAAGGGCUUAGAUAGAUCUAAGAUAGACAAAAUUAAUGAAUUAAUUGAUGCCUUGAAUGAAAAGAAUAUACUUUUAGAAAAGCAAGAGGAUUUGUUGUAUGAAGAGCAUGAUAAAUUUGUUGAGGCACAAAAAUCCUAUGCUUUAGAAGUUAAAAGAAAUGAAAUGCUUUCUUUUGAACUAUCUACUUGUCAUGAAACCAUUUCUACUUUGAAAGGUAUCAACAAUGAUUUAAAUGCUAAAUUAGAAGUAGCAAAUAAAUCCAAUUCUUGUGUAGAACAUGUUGAAAUUUGUACUAGGUGUAAAGAUUUUGACAUUGAUGCUUGUAGUGAACACCUAGUUUCAAUUUCCAAGCUUAAUGAUGAACUGGCUAGUCUUAAUGCUCAACUUAAGACUAGCAAGAAUGAUUUUGAUAAGCUAAAAUUUGCAAGGGAUGCCUACACAAUUGGUAGACACCCCUCAAUUAAGGAUGGACUUGGCUUCAAGAAAGAAGCUAAGAACUUAACAAGCCAUAAGGCUCCCAUUCCCGCCAAGGAGAAAGGGAAGGCCCCUAUGGCUAGUUGUGUGCAAAAGAACCAUGCUUUUAUGUACUAUGAUAGAAGAUAUUCUAGAAAUGCUUUUAGAGGUCAUGAUGUGUUUGAUUCACAUGCUUAUGACUCUUAUGCUAUGACUGCUUCUAGUUCUCAUGUUAUGCAUGGUAGAAAUAUGUCUAGGAGAAAUGCUAUUCAUCAUGUGCCUAGAAAGAAUGUUAUUCAUGCUCCUAGGAAAGUAGUGAAUGAACCUUCUACAAUUUAUUGUGCUUUGAAUACUUCAUUUGCAAUUUGUAGAAAGGAUAGAAAAGUAAUUGCUAGGAAGUUAGGGGCAAAAUGCAAAGGUGAUAAAACUUGCAUUUGGGUCCCUAAGGAAAUUGUGACUAACCUUGUAGGACCCAACAAGAGUUGGGUACCUAAGUCCCAAGCCUAAAUUUGCCUUGCAGGUUUAUGCAUCCGGGGGAUCAAGCUGGAUUAUCGACAGCGGAUGCACAAACCAUAUGACGGGGGAGAAGAAGAUGUUCACUUCCUACGUCAAGAAUAAGGAUUCCCAGGAUUCAAUUAUAUUCGGUGAUGGGAAUCAAGGCAAGGUAAAAGGGUUAGGUAAAAUUGCAAUUUCUAAUGAGCAUUCUAUCUCUAAUGUAUUUUUAGUAGAGAGUCUUGGAUAUAAUUUGCUAUCUGUUAGUCAAUUAUGUCAUAUGGGGUAUAACUGUCUAUUUACAAAUAUAGAUGUGUCUGUCUUUAGAAGAAGUGAUGGUUCACUAGCUUUUAAGGGUGUAUUAGACGGCAAACUUUAUUUAGUUGAUUUUGCAAAAGAAGAGGCCGGUCUAGAUGCAUGCUUAAUAGCUAAGACUAGCAUGGGCUGGCUGUGGCAUCGCCGCUUAGCACAUGUGGGGAUGAAGAACCUUCAAAAGCUUCUAAAGGGAGAACACGUGAUAGGAUUGACUAACGUGCAUUUCGAAAAAGAUAGACCUUGUGCAGCUUGUCAAGCAGGUAAACAAGUGGGAGGAGCACAUCACAGCAAGAACGUGAUGACCACUUCAAGACCCCUGGAGCUGCUGCAUAUGGACCUCUUCGGACCUGUCGCCUAUCUGAGCAUAGGAGGGAGUAAGUAUGGUUUAGUUAUUGUUGAUGACUUUUCCCGCUUCACUUGGGUGUUCUUUUUGCAGGAUAAGUCUGAAACCCAAGGGACCCUCAAGCGCUUUCUCAGGAGAGCUCAAAAUGAGUUUGAGCUCAAGGUGAAGAAGAUAAGGAGCGACAACGGGUCCGAGUUCAAGAACCUUCAAGUGGAGGAGUUCCUUGAAGAUGAAGGGAUCAAGCACGAGUUCUCCGCUCCCUACACACCACAGCAAAAUGGUGUGGUAGAGAGGAAGAACAGGACGCUCAUCGACAUGGCGAGGACGAUGCUAGGAGAGUUCAAGACCCCCGAGUGCUUUUGGACGGAAGCUGUUAACACUGCUUGCCACGCCAUCAACAGGGUCUACCUUCAUCGCCUCCUCAAGAAGACGUCGUAUGAGCUACUAACCGGUAACAAACCCAAUGUAUCGUACUUUCGUGUAUUUGGGAGUAAAUGCUACAUUCUAGUGAAGAAGGGUAGAAAUUCUAAGUUUGCUCCCAAAGCUGUAGAAGGGUUUUUAUUAGGUUAUGACUCAAAUACAAAGGCGUAUAGAGUCUUCAACAAAUCAUCGGGUUUGGUUGAAGUCUCUAGCGACGUUGUAUUUGAUGAGACUAAUGGCUCUCCAAGAGAGCAAGUUGUUGAUUGUGAUGAUGUAGAUGAAGAAGAUGUUCCGACAGCCGCUAUACGAACCAUGGCGAUUGGAGAAGUGCGGCCACAGGAACAAGAUGAGCAAGAUCAACCUACUUCCUCAAUUAUGGUGCAUCCCCCGACUCAAGACGAUGAACAGGUUCAUCAAAAGGAGGCGUGUGAUCAAGGGGGAGCACAAGGUGAUCAAGUGAUGGAGGAAGAAGCGCUACCGGCACCUCCAACCCAAGUUCGAGCGAUGAUUCAAAGGGAUCAUCCCGUCGAUCAAAUUCUGGGUGACAUUAGCAAGGGAGUAACUACUCGAUCUCGAUUAGUUAAUUUUUGUGAACAUUACUCCUUUGUCUCUUCUAUUGAGCCUUUCAGGGUAGAAGAGGCCUUGCUAGAUCCGGACUGGGUGUUGGCCAUGCAAGAGGAGUUAAACAACUUCAAGCGCAAUGAAGUUUGGACACUGGUGCCUCGUCCGAAGCAAAAUGUUGUGGGAACCAAGUGGGUGUUCCGCAACAAACAGGACGAGCACGGGGUGGUGACGAGGAACAAGGCUCGACUUGUGGCAAAAGGUUAUGCCCAAGUCGCAGGUUUGGAUUUCGAGGAGACCUUUGCUCCUGUGGCUAGGCUAGAGUCAAUUCGAAUCUUGCUAGCAUAUGCCGCUCACCAUUCUUUCAGGUUGUACCAAAUGGAUGUGAAGAGCGCUUUCCUCAACGGGCCAAUCAAGGAGGAGGUGUACGUGGAGCAACCCCCUGGCUUCGAGGAUGAACGGUAUCCCGACCAUGUGUGUAAGCUCUCUAAGGCGCUCUAUGGACUUAAGCAAGCCCCAAGAGCAUGGUAUGAAUGCCUUAGAGACUUUUUACUUGCUAAUGCUUUCAUGGUUGGGAAGGCCGAUCCAACUCUUUUUACAAAGACAUGUGAUGGUGAUCUGUUUGUGUGCCAAAUUUAUGUCGAUGACAUAAUAUUUGGUUCUACUAACCAAAAGUCUUGUGAAGAGUUUAGCAGGGUGAUGACGCAGAAAUUCGAGAUGUCGAUGAUGGGCGAGUUGAACUACUUCCUUGGGUUCCAAGUGAAGCAACUCAAGGACGGCACCUUCAUCUCCCAAACGAAGUACACGCAAGAUCUGCUAAAGCGGUUUGGGAUGAAGGACGCCAAGCCCGCAAAGACUCCGAUGGGGACCGACGGACACACCGACCUCAACAAAGGAGGUAAGUCCGUUGAUCAAAAAGCAUACCGGUCAAUGAUAGGUUCUUUGCUUUACUUAUGUGCUAGUAGACCGGAUAUUAUGCUUAGCGUAUGCAUGUGUGCUAGAUUUCAAUCCGAUCCUAAGGAAUGUCACUUAGUGGCGGUGAAGCGAAUUCUUAGAUAUUUGGUUGCUACGCCUUGCUUCGGGCUCUGGUAUCCAAAGGGGUCUACCUUUGACUUAGUUGGAUACUCAGACUCCGACUAUGCUGGAUGUAAGGUCGAUAGGAAGAGUACAUCGGGGACGUGCCAAUUCUUAGGAAGGUCCCUGGUGUCAUGGAACUCUAAGAAACAAACAUCCGUUGCCCUAUCCACCGCUGAGGCCGAGUAUGUUGCCGCAGGACAGUGUUGCGCGCAACUACUUUGGAUGAGGCAAACCCUCCGGGACUUUGGCUACAAUCUGAGCAAAGUCCCACUCCUAUGUGAUAAUGAGAGUGCUAUCCGCAUGGCGGAAAAUCCUGUUGAACACAGCCGCACAAAGCACAUAGACAUCCGGCAUCACUUUUUGAGAGACCACCAGCAAAAGGGAGAUAUCGAAGUGUUUCAUGUUAGCACCGAGAACCAGCUAGCCGAUAUCUUCACUAAGCCUCUAGAUGAGAAGACCUUUUGCAGGUUGCGUAGUGAGCUAAAUGUCUUAGAUUCGCGGAACUUGGAUUGAAUUGUAGCAUACAUGUGUUUAUGCAUUUGAUCAGGUUCAUUCUGCAUUUUGUUGCUUAUUGUGGUGCUCAAGUUGUACCAACACUCCCUGGACCUCACAAGUCCGUUGCAAAGUGAUGCACAUGUUUAGGGGGAGAUGUGUUACAACUUGACCCUUUGAGACUAACCAUUUGCUUGAGUUUGCUUGAUUUAGUCUCGAAGGCGGAUUGAAAGGGAAAAGGUGGACUUGGACCAUGAAAGACUUCCACUGCACUCCGAUGAGAGGGUAACUAAUUCCAAGUUCAUCUCAUGAAAUCUUAUUGCCAUUUGCUCUUAAUUGAAGACUUUGGUGAGGCAAUGGGGUUAAAAAAAGCCAAGAUUAAUCCCGUUUUGGUGCUUGAUGCCAAAGGGGGAGAAAAUAAAGGCCAAAGUGAUAAAUGGAUCAGCUACCACUUGAGAGAUUUUGAAAAUAGUAGAAUAGAGUUUUUGUUUUGUCAAAAGCUUUUAUUGUCUCUUAUUGUCUCUAUUGUCAAAAGUUGACUUCUUGUGGGGAGAAGUGGUGAUUAUGGGAAAUAGGGGGAGUUUUUGAAAUCCUUGAUCAAUCUCUUUUGGUAUGACUCUCUUUAUGCUUCAACAUGUGUGUUUGACUUAGAGAUAGAGAUUUGAGUUUGAUUUGCAAAAACAAACCAAGUGGUGGCAAAGGAUGAUCCAUAUAUGCCAAAAUUGAAUCAAAACCAAUUUGAGUUUUUGUUUGAAGUGAUUUUGCACUUGUUCUAGUUGCUUUAUGUUGUGUUGGCAUAAAUCACCAAAAAGGGGGAGAUUGAAAGGGAAAUGUGCCCUUGGGCCAUUUCUAAGUAUUUUGGUGAUUAAGUGCAAACACAGGUGCCAAUAUGUGAAAAUAUGCCCAUGGAUGGACAAGUUGCAAAUCACAAGUAAAGGUAUGUUUCUAAGCCUUAGUGCAUUGGUUUUGUGUACUAAUAUAUUUGUCUAAGUGUUAGAAACAGAAAGAAGAAGAAGAAGAGAAGACUUGGCUGUGUGCAGCCAAGGGGCUGUUUCGGUCUGGGGCACCGGACUGUCCGGUGGUGCACCGGACAGUGUCCGGUGGUGCACCGGACAGUGUCCGGUGCGCCAGGCUGCCUCGGCCGAAGAGGCCGCUCUCGGGUUUUUCUCCGGCGACUUCGGCUAAAAUUCACCGGACUGUCCGGUGUGCACCGGACUGUCCGGUGAGCCAACGGUCGGCCGGGCCAACGGUCGGCCGCGCGAUCGGCGCGCGACACGUGGCCGAGCCAACGGUCGGAAGGAAGCACCGGACUGUCCGGUGUGCACCGGACAUGUCCGGUGCGCCAACUGUGCGCAGAUCUGACUCAGACAGCAACGGUCGAAUGCGCUGUUUAAGGAAACAAAUCGGGCACCGGACAGUGUCCGGUGUGCACCGGACUGUCCGGUGCGCCCGACGACAGAAGGCAAGGAUAGCCUUCCAGAUGUGUUCUCAACGGCUCCUAGCUGCCUUGGGGCUAUAAAAGGGACCCCUAGGCGCAUGGAGGAGCACACCAAGCAUUCCUACAACUCUUCUAAGCACCAAGACAUCAAUCUCACGCAUUCGUUUCAUUGUGAUAGCAUAUAGAGCUCUUGUGGAGUUGUGAACUCUUUGUGUUGCGUUGCGAGCUCUUGUUGCGACUUGUGUGCGUGUUGUUGCUCUGAUUUUUGAGUCUUGUGUGCGUUGCUCAUUCCCACCUUACUCCGUAUUUCUUUGUGAACUCAAUUGUAAGGGCGAGAGACUCCAAGUUGUGGAGAUUCCUCGCAAACGGGAAAAGAUCAAAGGAAAGAAAAACACCGUGGUAUUCAAGUUGAUCAUUGGAUCACUUGAGAGGAGUUGAGUGCAACUCUCGUCCGUUGGGACGCCACAACGUGGAGAUGGCAAGUUUUGUACUUGGCCGAACCACGGGAUAACCACCGUGUCAACUCUGUGAUUGCUUUCUUGUGGUUAUCGUGUUUUGAGUUCUCUCCAGCCACUUGGCCAUACUUGUGCUAACCCUUAACAAGUUUUUGUGGCCUAAGUUUUGAACUUUUACAGGAUCACCUAUUCACCCCCCCUCUAGGUGCUCUCAAUUGGUAUCGGAGCCGUUCUCUUCAAGAAAGGGACUAACCGCCCGAAGAGAUGGAUCCUAAGGGGAAGGGAAUUGUGAUCAACGACAAGGAGAAGGAGUCCUUCGUCAACGAGCCAAGGGAUGACAAGUCCAAUGACUCGGGCUCGGGCCACAAGCGAAGAGAUGGGAAGAAGAAGAAGACAAGACGCAUCAAGGAGAUCGUCUACUACGACAGCGAUGAGUCCUCUUCUUCCCAAAAGGACGACGACCACGACAAACAAAGGAAACCGGUUAAUUCGAACUUUUCAUUUGAUUAUUCUCGUAUUCCACAUAGUUCGAAUUCGCAUUUGCUUUCCAUUCCUCUUGGUAAACCUCCACAUUUUGAUGGGGAGGACUACGGGUUUUGGAGUCACAAAAUGCGUAGUCAUUUAUUCUCUCUCCAUCCAAGCAUAUGGGAGAUUGUAGAGAAUGGAAUGAAAUUUGAUAGCUCGGAUAGCCCUAUGUUUAUCAAUGAACAAAUUCAUAAAAAUGCACAAGCUACUACUGUUCUCUUAGCAUCUUUGUGCAGGGAAGAGUACAAUAAGGUGAGCGGCUUGGACAAUGCCAAGCAGAUAUGGGACACCCUCAAGAUCUCUCACGAGGGGAACGACAUCACCAUGCUCACCAAGAUGGAGUUGGUGGAGGGCGAGCUUGGACGAUUCGCCAUGAUAAGGGGAGAAGAGCCAACUCAAACUUACAACCGGCUCAAGACCCUUAUCAACAAGAUAAGGAGCUACGGAAGCACGCGUUGGACGGAUCACGACGUCGUCCGCCUAAUGCUCAGGUCAUUUACCGUUCUUGAUCCUCAUCUCGUGAACAAUAUUCGUGAGAAUCCCAGGUACACGAUGAUGACGCCCGAAGAAGUACUUGGAAAAUUCGUGAGCGGGCGGAUGAUGAUCAAGGAGGCAAGAUACGUCGACGACGCGUUGAAUGGUCCACUCCACGAGUCUCAACCCAUUGCUCUAAAGGCAACAAGGAGCAAGGAGUCGCUACCUAGCAAGGUGGCGCAAAUUGAGGCGGCCUGUCUUAAUGAAGAAGAAAUGGCCCUCAUUAUCAAGAGAUUCAAGACGGUGCUAAAGGGUCGCAAUGGACAGCCGAGCAAGACUAAGACCAAGGGGAAGCGAUCAUGCUUCAAAUGCGGUAAGCUUGGUCAUUUUAUUGCUAACUGUCCUGAUAAUGAAAGUGACCAGGAAAAGGGAAACAAGAGGGAAAAGAAGAAGCAUUAUAAGAAGGCAAAGGGCGAGGCGCAUCUAGGCAAGGAGUGGGACUCGGAUUGCUCCUCGUCCGACUCCGACAAUGAAGGACUCGCCGCCACCGCCUUCAACAAAUCAACCCUCUUCCCCAACGAGCGUCACACAUGCCUUAUGGCAAGGGAGAAGAAGGUAUGUACUCGCAACUCUACCUAUGCUUCUUCAAGUGAGGACGAAUCUAGUGAUGAGGAUGAAGUAGAUUAUUCAUGUUUGUUCAAGGGCUUAGAUAGAUCUAAGAUAGACAAAAUUAAUGAAUUAAUUGAUGCCUUGAAUGAAAAGAAUAUACUUUUAGAAAAGCAAGAGGAUUUGUUGUAUGAAGAGCAUGAUAAAUUUGUUAAUGCUUUCAAGGUUGGGAAAGCCGAUCCAACUCUUUUUACUAAGACAUGUGAUGGUGAUUUGUUUGUGUGCCAAAUUUAUGUUGAUGACAUAAUAUUUGGUUCUACUAACCAAAAGUCUUGUGAAGAGUUUAGCAGGGUGAUGACGCAGAAAUUCGAGAUGUCGAUGAUGGGCGAGUUGAACUACUUCCUUGGGUUCCAAGUGAAGCAACUCAAGGACGGCACCUUCAUCUCCCAAACGAAGUACACGCAAGAUCUGCUAAAGUGGUUUGGGAUGAAGGACGCCAAGCCCGCAAAGACUCCGAUGGGAACCGACGGACACACCGAUCUCAACAAAGGAGGUAAGUCCGUUGAUCAAAAAGCAUACCGGUCAAUGAUAGGGUCUUUACUUUAUUUAUGUGCUAGUAGACCGGAUAUCAUGCUUAGCGUAUGCAUGUGUGCUAGAUUUCAAUCCGAUCCUAAGGAGUGUCACUUAGUGGCGGUGAAGCGAAUUCUUAGAUAUUUGGUUGCUACGCCCUGCUUCGGGCUCUGGUAUCCAAAGGGGUCUACCUUUGACUUGGUUGGAUACUCAGAUUCCGACUAUGCUGGAUGUAAGGUCGAUAGGAAGAGUACAUCAGGGACGUGCCAAUUCUUAGGAAGGUCCCUGGUGUCGUGGAACUCUAAGAAACAAACCUCCGUUGCCCUAUCCACCGCUGAGGCCGAGUAUGUUGCCGCAGGACAGUGUUGCGCGCAGCUACUUUGGAUGAGGCAAACCCUCCAGGACUUUGGCUACAAUCUGAGCAAAGUCCCCCUCCUAUGUGACAAUGAGAGUGCUAUCCGCGUGGCGGAAAAUCCUGUUGAACACAGCCGCACAAAGCACAUAGACAUCCGGCAUCACUUUUUGAGAGACCACCAGCAAAAGGGAGAUAUCGAAGUGUUUCAUGUUAGCACCGAGAACCAGCUAGCCGAUAUCUUCACUAAGCCUCUAGAUGAGAAGACCUUUUGCAGGUUGCGUAGUGAGUUAAAUGUCUUAGAUUCGCGGAACCUGGAUUGAUUUAUAGCAUACAUGUGUUUAUGCCUUUAAUCAUGUUCAUUCUGCAUUGUGUUGCUUAUUAUGGUGCUCAAGUUGUACAAGCACUCCCCGGACCUCACAAGUCCUGGUGCCAGUAAUGCACAUAUUUAGGGGGAGAUGUGUUACAACUUGACCCUUUGAGACUAACCGUUUGUUUGAGUUUGAUUGUUUUAGUCUCAAAGAAGGUUUGAAAGGGAAAGGUGGACUUGGACCGUGAAAGACUUCCACUGCACUCCGAUGAGAGGGUAACUUAUUCCAAGUUCAUCUUUAAACUCUUAUUGCCUAUUUGCUCUUAAUUGAAGAUUUUGGUGAGGCAAUGGGGUCAAAGGGCCAAGAUUGAUCCCGUUUUGGUGCUUGAUGCCAAAGGGGGAGAAAAUAAAGGCCAAAGCAAUAAAUGGAUCAACUACCACUUGAGAAACUUUGAAAACAGUAGGAUAGAGCUUUUGGUUUGUCAAAACUCUUGCAUUGUCUCUUUUGUCAAAAGUUGGCCUCUUGUGGGGAGAAGUGUUGAUUAUGGGAAAAAGGGGGAGUUUUUGGAAUCUUGAAUCAAUUUUCUUUGGAAAACCUCUCUUUAUGUCUCUACAAGUGGAUUUGACUUAGAGAUAGGAUUUUGAGUUUGAUUUGCAAAAACAAACCAAGUGGUGGCAAAGGAUGAUCCAUAUAUGCCAAAUUGAAUCAAAAUAAAUUUGAGUUUUUAUUUGAAGUGAUAUUGCACUUGUUCUAGUUGCUUUAUGUUGUGUUGGCAUAAAUCACCAAAAAGGGGGAGAUUGAAAGGGAAAUGUGCCCUUGGGCCAUUUCUAAGUAUUUUGGUGAUUGAGUGCCAACACAAGUGCUUAAAUGUGAAUCUAUGCCCAUGGAUGAACAAAGUGCAAAUCAAGAGUAAAGGUAUGUUUCUAAGCCUUAGUACAUUGGUUUUGUGUACUAAUAUACUUGUCUAAGUGUUAGAAACAGAAAGAAGAAGAAAAGAAAAGAGGUGAAAAAGGCUUGGCUGUGUACAGCCAAGACUCAGCUCUGUCUGGCACACCGGACUGUCCGGUGGUGCACCGGACAGUGUCCGGUGCGCCAGGCUGGCUCGGGCGAAGUGGCCGCUCUCGGGAAUUCACCGGCGACAUACGGCUAAAAUUCACCGGACUGUCCGGUGAGCCAACGGUCGGCCGGGCCAACGGUCGGGCGCGCAAUCUGCGCGAGACACGUGGCUGAGCCAACGGCUAGAAGAUGGCACCGGACUGUCCGGUGUGCACCGGACAUGUCCAGUGCACCAACGGCUCCCAAAUCCGCAACGGUCGACUUCGCUAUUUAAGGAAGGAAAUCGGGCACCGGACUGUCCGGUGUGCACCGGACUGUCCGGUGCCCCCGAUGACAGAAGGCAAGAAUGGCUUUCCAGAUUUUCUCUCAACGGCUCCUAGCUGCCUUGGGGCUAUAAAAGGGACCCCUAGGCGCAUGGAGGAGGAGACCAAGCAACCUUAGAGCAUUCUUGAUCAUCCACACUUAGUCUUUGCGCAUUCGUUUGUCAUUCUCAGUGAUUCGAGCUCCGUUCUAGUGAGAACUUUGAGAUAGUCUUUUGAGCUCGAUUCUUGGCCGUGUGUGUGCGCAUUUUGCUGUGGAUUUGUGUGUGUUGCUUCCCUCCCUUACUCCGUGCUUCUUUGUGAACUUUAAGUGUAAGGGCGAGAGACGCCAAUUUGUGGAGAUUCCUCGCAAGUGGGAUAAAGAUAAGCAAAGCAAAACACCAUGGUAUUCAAGUGGGUCUUUGGACCGCUUGAGAGGGGUUGAUUGCAACCCUCGUCCGUUGGGACGCCACAACGUGGAGUAGGCAAGCGUUGGUCUUGGCCGAACCACGGGAUAACCACCGUGUCAUCUCUGUGAUUGAUCUUUGUUGGUUAUUGUAUUUUGUUGAGGAUUCCUAUCUAGCCACUUGGCAAUUAUUGUGCUAACGAUUCACCAAGUUUUGUGGCUUAAGUUUUCAAGUUUCACAGGAUCACCUAUUCACCCCCCUCAAGGUGCUCUCAGGUGCGCCAUGCGACAGCACACUUCCAACAACCAUAUUGUCGGCGUUUCGAGACCGGGGGGUCCCUGGGCCGACGAGUGAAGAUGUCGCCGCGUGCCCCAGCCCAGAUGGGUCGGCGCGAGACGGAGCGCGAAGGGGGGAAAAAGGCAGCCAGAGCGAGAGAGAGAGAGGUGGUAAUCCCGCGACCUUCGUGUUUGUCCCGCGCCCGGGUUGGGUGCGCUUGUAGUAGGGGGUUACAAGCGUCCACGCGGGAGGGGAGCGAGCAGCCUCACGCGAGCGCCUGUCCCGUCCUCUUCUCCGCGCGGCCAACCCUCUGUAAGAGGGCUCUGGUCCUUCCUUUUAUAGGCGUAAGGAGAGGAUCCAGGUGUACAAUGGGGGGGUGUAGCAGAGUGCUAACGUGUCUAGCGAAGGAGAGCUAGCGCCCUAAGUACAUGCCAUCGUGGCAGCCAGAGAGGUUUUGGCACCCGGUUCGUGUGGUGUUGUGGCCGUCGGAGGAGCGCUGGAGCCUGGUGGAAGGAUAGCUGUCGGGGCUGUCGAGUCCUUGUUGACGUCCUCUUGCUUCCGUAAGGGGGCUAGGAGCCGCUGACGUCAUAGAGCGUGCGGGGCGCCAUCAUUACUUGUCUGGCGGAGCAAGCCAGAUGGGACGCCGGUCUUGUUCCCCAUAGCCUGAGUCAGCUUGGGGUAGGGUAAUGAUGGCGCCUCCUAUUGACGUGGUCGGUCCGUGCCUUAGGUUGGGCGAUGUGGAGGCUUCUCCGAGAUCGAGUUCGAGUCUGUCUUCCGAGGCCGAGGUCGAGUCCGAGCCCCUGGGUCGGGCGAGGCGGAGACCGUCGGCGGAGGCCAGGGCUGAGUCCGAGCCCUGGGGUCGGGCGAAGUGGAGUUCGUCGUCUUCCGGGGCUGAGCCCGAGCGGAGCGGAGUUCGUCGUCUUUCGAGGCUGAGCCCGAGUCCAAGCCCUGGGUCGGGCGGAGCGGAGUUCGCCGUCUUCCGAGGCUGAGCCCGAGUCCGAGCCCUGGGUCGGGCGGAGCGGAGUUCGUCGUCUUCCGGGGCUGAGCCCGAGUCUGAGCCCUGGGUCGGGCGGAGCGGAGUUCGCCGUCUUCCGGUGUUGAGCCCGAGUCCGAGCCCUGGGUCGGGCGAAGUGGAGUUUCCUAUGGUGCCUGAGGCCGGGCCUGACUGCCGGUCAGCCUCACUCUGUCGAGUGGCACAGCAGUCGGAGCGGCGUAGGCGGCGCUGUCCUUCUGUCAGGCCGGUCAGUGGAGCGGCGAAGUGACUGCGGUCACUUCGGCUCUGUCGACUGGAGGGCGUGCGUCAGGAUAAAGGUGUCAGGCCACCUUUGCAUUAAAUGCCCCUGCGAUUUGGUCGGCUAGCGUGGCGAUUUGGCCAGAGUUGCUUCUUGGCGAAGACUGGGCCUCGGGCGAGCCGGAAGUAUGUUCGUCGCUGGAGGGGGGCCUCGGGCGAGACGGAGAUCCUCCGGGGUCGGCUGCCCUUGCCCGAGGCUAGGCUCGGGCGAGAAGUGAUCGAGUCCCUCGAAUGGACCAAUCCCUGACUUAGUCGCACCCAUCAGGCCUUUGCAGCUUUGUGUUGAUGGGGGUUACCAGCUGAGAAUUAGGAGUCUUGAGGGUACCCCUAAUUAUGGUCCCCGACAGUAGCCCCCGAGCCUCGAAGGGAGUGUUAACACUCGCUUGGAGGCUUUUGUCGCACUUUUUGCAAGGGGACCAGCCUUUCUCGGUUGCGUUUUGUUCCGGUGGGUGCGCGCGAGCGCACCCGCCGGGUGUAGCCCCCGAGGCCUCGGAGGAGUAGUUUGACUCCUCCGAGGUCUUAAUGCCUCGUGCAAUGCUUCGGCUGGUCUGGUCGUUCCCUCAUGCGAGCUGGCCGUAGCCCGGGUGCACGGUCGGGUCCCAAGUUCUCGGGCUGGUAUGUUGACGCUGUCAACGGUUUGGCCGGAGCCGGGUUUGCGAGAGCAGCCCCCGAGCCUCCGCACAGGGCGAGAGGACGGUCAAGGACAGACUCGACUUUUUAACAUACGCCCCUGCGUCGCCUUUCCGCAAGGAUGGGGGGGAAGCGCCAUGUUGCCCUCGGAGGGCGCCGAACAUGGUGUCUCCGGUGAGCUGCUGGCGGGUAAUCCGAGUGGACGCCCGUGCCCCAUUUGUUAGGGGUCGGCUAGAGGCCCGGAGGCGCGCUCAAAAGUACCUGCGGGUGAUCUGCCGGACCCGGUCCCCUGUCGACGGGGUCCGAGGGCUCGAUGCCUCCCUCUGAUGGGAUUCCGUUACAAGAUCGUUCCCGCUGGUCUCGGAAAUGUCCUAGGGUACCUCGGGAGCGUAGCUCGAGCCUUGGUUAUGUAUCGAACGUAUCCAUGGUCAUCCCUCGCUCUGUGUCUGAGGCGGCUGUGAACCCUUCGAGGGCCAGCCUACGAACCCCUGAUCAGUAGUGGGCGCGGAGCCCGAGUAGCCUGAGGCGGCCGUUGAACCCUUUCGAGGGGCCGGCCUUCGAACCUCUGACCAGUAGUGGGCGCAGAACCCACGCGCUUUGAGGCGGCUGUUGAACCCCUCCGAGGGGCCAGCCUUUGAACCUCUGAUCAGUAGGGAGGCUCGGAGCCUGUUUCCUUCAAGGAGAAGGAUCCUUUUCGGGGUAUCCCCCUUUCCCGGUCCCUGUUGUAAGAGAGAGAAAGAGGAAAAAGGAAAAGGAUACGAAAUCGAAUGACGUGGCGUACCUCUUUUGACGCGGUCAUUAUGGCGAAGCGUCGCUCGCUUCCCCUGCCAGAGGCGCCGCCUUUCCCGCCGCGGAGUUAAUGCGACGGGGCGAGCGGUUCGCGGGGCGGCCGUUGCGCGUGCGCGAGCCGUUCGAGGAACGGAACACGGGCGCGCCGUCUUCACGUCAUGAGAGAGGGUUCUUUCACUUCCCUAGGAUGGGACGUAAGCUUGGCUGACGACGCGACCGCUGCUCCCGCCUGCCUGCCACCGCCAUUACUGCCGGCCCAUUUAUGGUCGUAUUGACCGUCGCGCCUGGCUGGCACUACUGGGUCGUACGCAGGGUUGCCUCGAGUCGCGGUAUUGGUUCCGCAGUCGAGGAGGCGUGGCAGUGGUGCGAGUGGCGGUGCAGUUGCUUUUCACGAAAGGUGAUGAGUGAGGUAUCCGUAUCCCGGAGGCAUAGGAAUCCCUCGGCUCGGUCGCCCUUGCUGUCCGAGGCUUCUCUUGCUUAGUUAAAGGAACCCCUCUGCCGCUCUUCGAUGAGCCGAAGCCAGGAGUAGCGGUGUCAGCACGGAUAGAGGCAGAGUUGGCUCGAAAAGAAGACUUGGUCGGCCGGAGCCUGGCCGGGUCGUCCGUUAGCGGGACCGACGCUGGAGUUGAUCUGCCGAGGCCUCGGGCCGGGCUGAUGUCUUCGAGGGACAGCUGACCGAGGCCUCGGGGUGACCAGCCGAGCCGCCUGUUCGAGCCGGAUCCUUGGAGGAGACCCUGGCGGCGAUGGCCCGGGCGUGAUGAUGAAGUCGUCCUUCAGGGUGGAGAUCCUCGGACCGCGUCGCCGUCCGAGGCUAGGUUGGACCUCGCCGAAGGUGUAGUCGACGCCGAGGGUGCUGCUGCUCCCUUCAACUAUCGAGAUCCGAGCCUGCAGGAUCGGAUUAUCUUGUAGCGUGUGUUUUCUGCGGCCGCCGAGGCCCAAACACACCAUCGUCGUGUUGUAAAGGUGCGCUUCUUUUCCUCUUGUUUCGAGUAUUUGGACUUUUUCGUCGGUAACAGAAUUGUCUGUGCGAGCGAGAGUUGCUUUUCACGGAAGGUGAUGAGUGAGGUAUCCGUAUCCCGGAGGCGUAGGAAUCCCUUGGCUCGGUCGGCCUUGCCGCUUACGCGCACUCUUGCCCAUCCAUAGGGUUCUGUCACCGACACAGUCGAGAAGGCCCGAAGAAUCACUUCGGCAGGGGAGCUUUCGAGCGUGAAGACUUGUUUGGUCCGCGGAAUCACUUAUCCGAACGCGAGUUACUUAUCGCAGAAGGUGAUGAGUGAGGUAUCCGUAUCCCGGAGGCGUAGGAGUCCCUCGGCUCAGUCAGCCUUGGCUGCUUACGUGUACUCCAUCGUUUUCAGGAUCCACUUUCGAAGUAGUCGAAAAGCACCAAAGACAUUCUGGCAGAAAGGGUCUUUUUUCGAGGAAAAUUUCAACGUAGAGGGGGUUCCCCCCUUUUAGCCCCCGAGGGAGGGUCGGGCUUUGCCGAGGCAAGGCUGACCCUUCCUUGAUGACUAAACUUUGCGUGGGAGCGAGGUAUAUGAACAACUUGAAAGCAUCUUAAGGGUAGAAGCGACGUAGUUGUUGGAUGUUCCAAGCGUUGCCGUAGACCUCGCCUUGACUGUUGGCCAGCUUGUACGUUUCGGGCUUCAGAACUUUGGCGAUGACGAACGGCCCUUCCCAGGGAGGCGUGAGCUUGUGCCGCCCUCGGGCGUCCUAUCGCAGCUGAAGCACCAGGUCGCCCACCUGGAGGUCUCGGGACCGGACCCCUCGGGCGUGGUAGCGUCGCAGGGACUGCUGGUACCGCGCCGAGUGUAGUAAGGCCAUGUCCCGAGCCUCUUCCAGUUGGUCCAGCGAGUCUUCUCGACUAGCUUGGUUGCUUUGGUCGGCGUAGGCCCUCGUCCUCGGGGAACCGUAUUCUAAGUCUGUGGGCAAGAUGGCCUCGGCCCCAUAGACUAGAAAGAACGGCGUGAAGCCCGUGGCUCGGCUCGGCGUUGUCCUUAGACUCCAGACCACCGAGGGGAGUUCCUUCAUCCAUCGCUUGCCGAACUUGUUGAGGUCGUUGUAGAUCCGAGACUUGAGUCCUUGUAGAAUCAUGCAGUUGGCACGCUCUACUUGCCCAUUCGUCAUGGGGUGAGCCACGGCGGCCCAGUCCACCCGGAUGUGGUGAUCCUCGCAGAAGUCCAGGAACUUUCUGCCGGUGAACUGGGUGCCGUUGUCGGUGAUGAUGGAGUUCGGGACUCCAAAGCGAUGGAUGAUGUUGGUGAAGAACGCCACCGCCUGUUCGGACCUGGUGCUGUUUAGGGGUCGGACCUCGAUCCACUUGGAGAAUUUGUCGAUGGCGACCAACAGGUGCGUGUAGACCCCAGGUGCCUUCUGCAAGGGGCCGACGAGGUCCAGACCCCACACAGCAAAAGGCCAGGUGAUGGGUAUCGUCUGUAGAGCCUGAGCAGGCAGGUGGGUCUGCCUCGCGUAGAACUGACACCCUUCGCAGGUGCGGACAAUUCUACAGGAGUGUAUCUCUUGUAGGAGCUCCUGGCCUUCGGCGAUGGAAAUGCAUCGCUGGAGGAUGCCUGAGGGGCUGCGGGGUAGAGCUCUUUCCCGUCCCCCACCAAGACAAACGACUUGGCGCGCCGCACCAACCGCCGAGCUUCGGCUCGGUCGAGGGGUAGCUCUCCUCGGUGGAGAUAUUGCAGGUACGGGGUCUGCCAGUUUCGAUUAGGCGUGACCCCGCUUCGCUCCUCCUCGACGCACAGUGCCUCACCCUCAGGGGCCGAGGGUACCUCGGGCUGAACCGAGGGUGCCUCGGGUUGAGCCGACGGUGCCUCGGACUGAGCCGAGGGUACCUCGGGCUGGGCCGAGGGUGCCUCGGGCUCAGACGCGUCGUCGAUCUUGACGGAGGGUUGAUGCAGGUCUCGGGAGAAGACGUCCGGGGGAACCGUUGUUCGCCCCGAGGCUAUUUUAGCCAGCUCGUCCGCAGUCUCGUUGUAGCGUCGGGCGAUGUGGUUGAGCUCAAGCCCGUAGAACUUGUCUUCCAGGCGCCGAACCUCAUCGCAGUAGGCUUCCAUCUUCGGGUCGCGGUAGUGGGAGUUCUUCAUGACUUGGUCGAUGACGAGUUGCGAGUCACCGCGAGCGUCGAGGCGUCGGACCCCUAGCUCGAUGGCGAUGCGCAACCCGUUGACCAGAGCCUCGUACUCAGCCACAUUGUUGGACGCUGGGAAGUGGAGGCGUAGCACGUAGCGUAGGUGCUUCUCGAGGGGCGAGAUGAAGAGUAGGCCUGCGCCGGCUCCUGUCUUCAUCAGCGACCCGUCGAAGAACAUGGUCCAGAGUUUCGGUUGAAUCGGAACUGUUGGGAGCUGGGUGUCGACCCACUCAGCCACGAAGUCCGCCAAGACCUGGGACUUGAUGGCCUUCCGAGGGGCGAACGAGAUCGUUUCGCCCAUAAUUUCCACCGCCCACUUUGCGAUUCUACCCGAGGCCUCUCGGCACUGGAUGAUCUCCCCCAGGGGGAAGGAUGACACCACAGUUACCGGAUGAGACUCGAAGUAGUGUCGCAACUUCCGCCGCGUCAGGAUCACUGCGUACAGCAGCUUCUGAACUUGUGGGUAGCGGAUCUUGGUCUCGGGCAGUACCUCGCUGAUGAAGUAGACUGGCCUCUGGACGGGCAAUGCAUGCCCUUCUUCUCGUCUCUCAACCAUGAUCGCGGCGCUAACCACCUGAGUGGUCGCGGCGACGUAGAUCAAGAGGGCUUCUCCGGCAGCGGGGGGCACCAAGAUGGGCGCAUUCGUGAGGAGCGCCUUCAGGUUCUCGAGGGCUUCCUCGGCCUCAGGGGUCCAAGUGAAGCACUCGGCCUUCCUUAAGAGGCGGUACAGAGGCAGGCCUCUUUCGCCGAGGCGUGAGAUGAAGCGGCUCAGAGCCGCAAGACAUCCCGUGACUCUCUAUACGCCCUUCAAGUCCUUGAUGGGCCCCAUGCUGGUGAUGGCCGCGAUCUUCUCCGGGUUGGCUUCGAUGCCCCGCUCAGAGACGAUGAACCCCAAGAGCAUGCCUCGGGGAACCCCAAAGACACACUUCUCGGGAUUAAGCUUCACGCCUUUCGCCUUGAGACAUCGGAAUGUCACUUCAAGGUCAAAAAGGAGGUCGGAGGCUUUCCUCGUCUUGACUACGAUGUCAUCGACGUAGGCCUCGACCGUCCGGCCAAUGUGUUCGCCGAACACAUGGUUCAUGCACCGCUGGUACGUCGCGCCCGCAUUCCUCAAGCCGAACGACAUGGUGACAUAGCAGUACAUGCCGAAGGGUGUGAUGAAAGAAGUCGCGAGCUGGUCGGACUCCUUCAUCCUGAUUUGGUGAUACCCUGAGUAGACAUCGAGGAAAGACAGGGUUUCGCACCCAGCAGUGGAAUCCACGAUUUGAUCGAUGCGAGGCAGAGGGUAGGGAACCUUCGGACAUGCUUUGUUUAGACCAGUGUAGUCUACACACAUCCGCCAUUUCCCUCCUUUCUUUCUCACAAGCACAGGGUUGGCAAGCCAUUCGGGAUGGAAUACCUCUUUGAUGAACCCUGCCGCCAUCAGCUUGUGGAUCUCCUCGCCUAUGGCUCUGCGCUUUUCUUCGUCGAAUCGACGCAGAGGCUGCUUCACAGGUCGGGCUCCAGCUCGGAUAUCCAGCGAGUGCUCGGCGACAUCCCUCGGUAUGCCGGGCAUGUCCGAGGGACUCCACGCGAAAACGUCGGCGUUUGCGCGGAGAAAGUCGACGAGCACUGCUUCCUAUUUGGGAUCAAGCUCGGAGCCGAUCCGGAUCUGCUUGGAGGCGUCGCUGCUGGGGUCGAGGGGGACGGACUUAACCAUCUCCGCUGGCUCGAAGUUGCCGGCGUGGCGCUUCACGUCUAGCACCUCCUUAGAGAGGCUCUCCAGGUCGGCGAUGAGGGCCUCGGAUUCGGCGAGGGCCUCGGCGUACUCCACGCACUCCACGUCGCAUUCGAACACGUGUUUGUACGUGGGGCCAACGGUGAUGACCCCGUUGGGGCCCAGCAUCUUGUGCUUAAGGUAGGUGUAGUUGGGGACGACCAUGAACUUCGCGUAGCAUGGCCUCCCUAGUACUGCGUGGUAGGUUCCUCGGAACCCGACCACCUCGAACGUGAGGGUCUCCCUUCGGAAGUUGGAGGGUGUUCCGAAGCAGACAGGAAGGUCGAGUUGUCCGAGGGGCUGGACGCGCUUCCCGGGGAUGAUCACGUGGAAAGGCGUAGCGCCUGCCCGGACCGAGGAUAGAUCAACACGCAGGAGCCCGAGGGUCUCGGCGUAGAUGAUGUUGAGGCUGCUGCCUCCGUCCAUGAGGACCUUGGUGAGCCUGACGUUGCCGAUGAUGGGGUCGGCAACGAGCGGGUAUUUCCCCAGGCUUGGCACGUGGUCGGGGUGGUCGGCUUGGUCGAAGGUGAUGGGCUUGUCGGACCAGUCUAGGUAGACUGGCGCCGCCACCUUCACCGAACAGACCUCCCGACGCUCUUGCUUGCGGUGCCGAGCCGAGGCGUUUGCCGCUUGCCCACCGUAGAUCAUGAAGCAGUCGCGGACCUCGGGGAACUCUCCUGCCUGGUGAUCCUCCUUCUUGUCAUCGUCGUGAGCCCUGCCACCCUCCACGGGUGGCCCGACCCUGUGGAAGUGGCGCCGAAGCAUGGCGCACUCCUCAAGGGUAUGCUUGACGGGCCCCUGAUGAUAGGGGCACGGCUCCUUGAGCAUCUUGUCGAAGAGGUUGGCACCUCCGGGGGGUUUGAAAGGGAAAUGUGCCCUUGGGCCAUUUCUAAGUAUUUUGGUGAUUGAGUGUCAACACAAGUGCUUGAAUGUGAAUCAAUGCCCAUGGAUGAACAAAGUGCAAAUCUAGAGCAAAGGUAUGUUUCUAAGUCUUAGUACAUUGGUUUUGUGUACUAAUAUACUUGUCUAAGUAUUAGAAACAGGAAGAAGAAGAAAAGAAGAGAGUUGGCUGUGUACAGCCAAGAGGCUGUUUCGGUUUGGGGCACCGGACUGUCCGGUGGUGCACCGGACAGUGUCCGGUGCGCCAGGCUGCCUCGGCCGAAGAGGUCGCUCUCGGGAAUUUGCUAACGGCGUACGGCUAAAAUUCACCGGACUGUCCGGUGUGCACCGGACUGUCCGGUGAGCACCGGACUGUCCAGUGAGCCAACGGUCGGCCGGGCCAACGGUCGGCCGCGCGAUCUGCGCGGGACACGUGGCCGAGCCAACGGUCGGAAGGGGGCACCGGACUGUCCGGUGUGCACCGGACAUGUCCGGUGCGCCAACGGCUCCCGCAUCUGCAACGGUCGACUGCGUUGUUUAAGGAAGGAAAUCGGGCACCGGACAGUGUCCGGUGUGCACCGGACUGUCCGGUGCGCCCGACGACAGAAGGCAAAGAUGGCCUUCCAGAUUUGUUCUCAACGGCUCCUAGCUGCCUUGGGGCUAUAAAAGGGACCCCUAGGCGCAUGGAGGAGAAAACCAAGCAACCUAAGAGCAUUCUUGAUCAUCCACUCUCAUUCUUUGCGCAUUCGUUUGUCAUUCUAAGUGAUUCGAGCUCCGUUCUAGUGAGAACUUUGAGAUAGUCUUUUGAGCUCGAUUCUUGGCCGUGUGUGUGCGCAUUUUUGCUGUGGAUUUGUGUGUGUUGCUUCCCUCCCUUACUCCGUAUUUCUUUGUGAAUCUCAAGUGUAAGGGCGAGAGACUCCAAGUUGUGGAGAUUCCUCGCAAACGGGAAAUUGAAAGGAAAAGCAUAACACUGUGGUAUUCAAGUUGAUCAUUGGAUCACUUGAGAGGAGUUGAGUGCAACUCUCGUCCGUUGGGACGCCACAACGUGGAGUAGGCAAGUUUUGUACUUGGCCGAACCACGGGAUAAAUCACUGUGUCUUCUCUGUGUUGAAUUCUUUGUGAUUGUCAUAUUGUGCAAGAUCUCCUCUUUAGCCACUUGGCAAUUAUUGUGCUAACCCUUAACAAGCUUUUGUGGCUAUAAGUUUAAGUUUUACAGGAUCACCUAUUCACCCCCCCCUCUAGGUGCUCUCAAUUGGUAUCAAAGCCGUUCUCUUCAAGGAAGGGACUAACCGCCCGAAGAGAUGGAUCCUAAGGGGAAGGGAAUCGUGAUCAACAACAAGGAAAAGGAGUUCUUCGUCAACGAGCCAAAAGAUGACAAAUCCAACGACUCUGGCUCAGGCCACAGACGUAAAGAUGGGAAGAAGAAGAAGACACGACGUAUCAAGGAGAUCGUCUACUACGACAGCGACGAGUCUACUUCUUCCCACAAGGACGACGACUACGACAAACAAAAGACGGUUAACUCAAACUUUUCUUUUGAUUAUUCGCGCAUUCCGCACAGCUCAAAUGCUCAUUUGCUCCCCAUUCCACUUGGCAAGCCCCCUCACUUUGAUGGAGAGGACUACGGAUUUUGGAGUCACAAAAUGCGUACACACCUAUUUUCUCUCCAUCCAAGCAUUUGGGAGAUUGUGGAAAGUGGAAUGAAAUUUGAUAGCUCGGAUAGUCCUUCAUUUAUUAAUGAACAGAUCCAUAAAAAUGCACAAGCUACUACUGUGUUGCUAGCCUCUUUGUGCAGGGACGAGUAUCACAAGGUGAGCGGCUUGGACAAUGCCAAGCAGAUUUGGGACACCCUCAAGAUCUCUCAUGAGGGGAAUGAUGUCACCUUACUCACCAAGAUGGAGUUGGUGGAGGGCGAGCUCGGACGAUUCGCGAUGAUAAGGGGCGAGGAGCCGACGCAAACAUACAACCGGCUCAAGAUCCUUAUCAACAAAAUAAGGAGCUACGGAAGCACGCGAUGGACGGAUCACGACGUCGUCCGCCUAAUGCUAAGGUCAUUUACUGUUCUUGAUCCUCAUCUCGUGAACAAUAUUCGUGAGAAUCCCAGGUACACAAAGAUGACGCCCGAGGAGGUACUCGGGAAAUUCGUAAGCGGACGGAUGAUGAUCAAGGAGGCAAGAUACGUCGACGACGCCUUGAAUGGUCUGAUCAACGAGCCUCAACCCAUUGCUCUCAAGGCAACGAGGAGCAAGGAGGUGCUACCCAGCAAGGUGGCACAAAUUGAGGCUGUCGGUCUUAAUGAUGAAGAGAUGGCCCUCAUCAUUAAAAGAUUCAAGACGACGCUAAAAGGUCGAAAGGGUCAGCCAAGCAAGGCUAAGACCAAGGGAAAGCGAUCAUGCUUCAAAUGUGGUAAGCUUGGUCAUUUUAUUGCUAACUGUCCCGACAAUGAUAGUGAUCAGGAUCAAGGGAACAAGAGGGAAAAGAAGAAGAACUAUAAGAAGGCAAAGGGCGAGGCGCAUCUAGGCAAGGAGUGGGAUUCGGACUGCUCCUCUUCCGACUCCGACAAUGAAGGACUCGCCGCCACCGCCUUCAACAAGUCUUCCCUCUUCCCAAACGAGCGUCACACUUGCCUCAUGGCAAGAGAGAAGAAGGUAAUCACUCGUAAUGAUGUCACUUAUGAUUCUUCUAGUGACGAUGAGUCUAGUGAUGAUGAAAUAGAUUAUUCUAGUUUGUUCAAGGGACUGGAUAGAAAUAAAAUUGAUAAAAUCAAUGAAUUGAUUGAUGUCUUGAAUGAAAAGGAUAGGCUUUUAGAAAAGCAAGAGGAUUUGUUGUAUGAUGAGCAUGAUAAGUUUGUAGAGGCACAAAAAUCCUAUGCGUUAGAAGUUAAAAGAAAUGAAGUUCUUUCUAGUGAAUUAUCUUCUUGUCAUGAAAACAUUGCUACUUUAAAGAGUAUUAAUGAUGAUUUAAAUGCUAAGCUAGAAAAAUCUAGUAAAUCAACAUCUUGUGUAGAACAUGUUGUGAUUUGCACUAGGUGUAAAGAUUUUGACAUUGAUGCGUGUAGUGAACAUCUAGCUUCAAUUUCUAAAUUGAAUGAUGAAGUGUCUAGUCUUAAUGCCCAACUUAAGACUAGCAAAAGCGAAUUUGAUAAAUUGAAAUUUGCAAGGGAUGCCUAUACGAUUGGUAGACAUCCCUCAAUUAAGGACGGACUUGGCUACAAAAGGGAAGCCAAGAACUUAACAAGCCAUAAGGCUCCCAUUCCCGCUAAGGAGAAAGGGAAGGCCCCUAUGGCUACUAGUGCUAAAAAGAACCAUGCCUUUUUGUAUCAUGAUAGGAAAGAUUCUAGAAAUGCUUUUAGAAGUUAUGAUGCCUUUGAUUCACAUGCUUAUGAUUCUUAUGCUAUGACUGCCUCUAGUUCUCAUGUUGUGCAUAAUAGAAAGGUUUGUAGAAGAAAUGUUAUUCACAAUAUGCCUAGGAGAAAUGUUGCUCAUAGGAAAGUUCAUGGACCUUCUACAACUUAUCAUGCCCUAAAUGCUUCCUUUGCUAUUUGUAGAAAGGGUAGGAAAAUAGUUGCUAGGAAGUUAGGGGCAAAAUGCAAGGGAGACAAAACUUGCAUUUGGGUCCCUAAGGAAAUUUGCACUAACCUUGUAGGACCCAACAAGAGUUGGGUACCUAAGUCCCAAGCCUAAAUUUGCCUUGCAGGUUUAUGCAUCCGGGGGUUCAAGCUGGAUUAUCGACAGCGGAUGCACAAACCAUAUGACGGGGGAGAAGAAGAUGUUCACUUCCUACGUCAAGAAUAAGGAUUCCCAAGAUUCAAUUAUAUUCGGUGAUGGGAAUCAAGGCAAGGUAAAAGGGUUAGGUAAAAUUGCAAUUUCUAAUGAGCAUUCUAUCUCUAAUGUAUUUUUAGUAGAGAGUCUUGGAUAUAAUUUGCUAUCUGUUAGUCAAUUAUGUCAUAUGGGAUAUAACUGUCUAUUUACAAAUAUAGAUGUGUCUGUCUUUAGAAGAAGCGAUGGUUCAUUAGCUUUUAAGGGUGUAUUAGACGGCAAACUUUAUUUAGUUGAUUUUGCAAAAGAAGAGGCCGGUCUAGAUGCAUGCUUAAUAGCUAAGACUAGCAUGGGCUGGCUGUGGCAUCGCCGCUUAGCACAUGUGGGGAUGAAGAACCUUCACAAGCUUCUAAAGGGAGAACACGUGAUAGGGUUGACUAACGUACAAUUCGAAAAAGAUAGACCUUGUGCAGCUUGUCAAGCAGGUAAACAAGUGGGAGGAGCACAUCACAGCAAGAAUGUGAUGACCACUUCAAGACCCCUGGAGCUGCUGCAUAUGGACCUCUUCGGACCCGUCGCCUAUCUGAGCAUAGGAGGGAGUAAGUAUGGUUUAGUUAUUGUUGAUGACUUUUCCCGCUUCACUUGGGUGUUCUUUUUGCAGGAUAAGUCUGAAACCCAAGGGACCCUCAAGCGCUUCCUCAGGAGAGCUCAAAAUGAGUUUGAGCUCAAGGUGAAGAAGAUAAGAAGCGACAACGGGUCCGAGUUCAAGAACCUUCAAGUGGAGGAGUUCCUUGAGGAGGAAGGGAUCAAGCAUGAGUUCUCCGCUCCCUACACACCACAGCAAAAUGGUGUGGCAGAGAGGAAGAACAUGACGCUAAUCGACAUGGCGAGGACUAUGCUUGGAGAAUUCAAGACCCCCGAGCGUUUUUGGUCGGAAGCCGUGAACACGGCUUGCCACGCCAUCAACAGGGUCUACCUUCACCGCCUCCUCAAGAAGACGUCAUAUGAGCUUCUAACCGGUAACAAACCCAAUGUAUCGUACUUUCGUGUAUUUGGGAGCAAAUGCUACAUUCUAGUGAAGAAGGGUAGAAAUUCUAAAUUUGCUCCCAAAGCUGUAGAAGGGUUUUUGUUAGGUUAUGACUCAAAUACAAAGGCGUAUAGAGUCUUCAACAAAUCAUCGGGUUUGGUUGAAGUCUCUAGCGACGUUGUAUUUGAUGAGACUAAUGGCUCUCCAAGAGAGCAAGUUGUUGAUUGUGAUGAUGUAGAUUAAGAAGAUGUUCCAACGGCCGCUAUACGAACCAUGGCGAUUGGAGAAGUGCGGCCACAGGAACAACAAGAUCAACCCUCUUCCUCAACUAUGGUGCAUCCCCCAACUGAAGAUGACGUACAGGUACCUCAAGUGGAGGCGCUAGAACAAGGGGGAGCACAAGAUGAUCAAGUAAUGGAGGAAGAAGCGCAACCGGCACCUCCAACCCAAGUUAGGGCGAUGAUUCAAAGGGAUCAUCCCGUCGACCAAAUUCUGGGUGACAUUAGCAAGGGAGUAACUACUCGAUCUCGAUUAGUUAAUUUUUGUGAGCAUUACUCCUUUGUCUCUUCUAUUGAGCCUUUCAGGGUAGAGGAGGCCUUGCUAGAUCCGGACUGGGUGUUGGCCAUGCAGGAGGAGCUCAACAACUUCAAGCGCAAUGAAGUUUGGACACUGGUGCCUCGUCCGAAGCAAAAUGUUGUGGGAACCAAGUGGGUGUUCCGCAACAAACAGGACGAGCACGGGGUGGUGACGAGGAACAAGGCUCGACUUGUGGCAAAAGGUUAUGCCCAAGUCGUAGGUUUGGACUUUAAGGAGACGUUUGCUCCUGUGGCUAGGCUAGAAUCAAUUCGUAUCUUGCUAGCAUAUGCCGCUCACCAUUCUUUCAGGUUGUACCAAAUGGAUGUGAAGAGCGCUUUCCUCAACGGGCCAAUCAAGGAGGAGGUGUACGUGGAGCAACCCCUGGCUUCGAGGAUGAACGGUACCCCGACCACGUGUGUAAGCUCUCUAAGGCGCUCUAUGGACUUAAGCAAGCCCCAAGAGCAUGGUAUGAAUGCCUUAGAGACUUUUUAAUUGCUAAUGCUUUCAAGGUUGGGAAAGCCGAUCCAACUCUUUUUACUAAGACAUGUGAUGGUGAUUUAUUUGUGUGCCAAAUUUAUGUCGAUGACAUAAUAUUUGGUUCUACUAACCAAAAGUCUUGUGAAGAGUUUAGCAGGGUGAUGACGCAGAAAUUCGAGAUGUCGAUGAUGGGCGAGUUGAACUACUUCCUUGGGUUCCAAGUGAAGCAACUCAAGGACGGCACCUUCAUCUCCCAAACAAAGUACACGCAAGAUCUGCUAAAGCGGUUUGGGAUGAAGGAUGCCAAGCCCGCAAAGACUCCGAUGGGGACCGACGGACACACCGACCUCAACAAAGGAGGUAAGUCCGUUGAUCAAAAAGCAUACCGGUCAAUGAUAGGUUCUUUGCUUUACUUAUGUGCUAGUAGACCGGAUAUUAUGCUUAGCGUAUGCAUGUGUGCUAGAUUUCAAUCCGAUCCUAAGGAGUGUCACUUAGUGGCGGUGAAGCGAAUUCUUAGAUAUUUGGUUGCUACGCCUUGCUUCGGGCUCUGGUAUCCAAAGGGGUCUACCUUUGACUUAGUUGGAUACUCAGACUCCGACUAUGCUGGAUGUAAGGUCGAUAGGAAGAGUACAUCGGGGACGUGCCAAUUCUUAGGAAGGUCCCUGGUGUCAUGGAACUCUAAGAAACAAACCUCCGUUGCCCUAUCCACCGCUGAGGCCGAGUACGUUGCCGCAGGUCAGUGUUGCGCGCAACUACUUUGGAUGAGGCAAACCCUCCGGGACUUUGGCUACAAUCUGAGCAAAGUCCCACUCCUAUGUGACAAUGAGAGUGCUAUCCGCAUGACGGAGAAUCCUGUUGAGCACAGCCGCACAAAGCACAUAGACAUCCGGCAUCACUUUUUGAGAGACCACCAGCAAAAGGGAGAUAUCGAAGUGUUUCAUGUUAGCACCGAGAACCAGCUAGCCGAUAUCUUCACCAAGCCUCUAGAUGAGAAGACCUUUUGCAGGUUGCGUAGUGAGCUAAAUGUCUUAGAUUCGCGGAACCUGGAUUGAAUUGUAGCAUACAUGUACUUAUGCUUUUGAUCAUGUUCCUUUUUGCAUUUUGUUGCUUAUUAUGGUGCUCAAGUUGUACAAACACUCCCUGGACCUCACAAGCCCGUUGCAAAAUGAUGCACAUGUUUAGGGGGAGAUGUGUUACAACUUGACCCUUUGAGACUAACCAUGUGCUUGAGUUUGAUGAUUUAGUCUCGAAGGAGGAUUGAAAGGGAAAAAGUGGACUUGGACCAUGAAAGACUUCCACUGCACUCCGAUGAGAGGGUAACUUAUUCCAAGUUCAUCUUUAGACUCUUAUUGCCUUUGUAUUCUUAUUGAAGAUUUUGGUGAGGCAAUGGGGUUAAAAGGCCAAGAUUGAUCCUGUUUUGGUGCUUGAUGCCAAAGGGGGAGAAAAUAAAGGCCAAAGCGAUAAAUGGAUCAGCUACCACUUGAGAGAUUUUGAAAACAGUAGAAUAGCUUUUAUUGUCUCUUAUUGUCUCUCUUGUCAAAAGUUGGCUUCUUGUGGGGAGAAGUGUUGAUUAUGGGAAAUAGGGGGAGUUUUUGAAAUCUUUGAUCAAUCUCUUUUGGAAUGACUCUCUUUAUGCUUCAACAUGUGUGUUUGACUUAAAGAUAGAGAUUUGAGUUUGAUUUGCAAAAACAAACCAAGUGGUGGCAAAGGAUGAUCCAUAUAUGCCAAAAUUGAAUCAAAAUCAAUUUGAGUUUUAUUUGAAGUGAUUUUGCACUUGUUCUAGUUGCUUUAUGUUGUGAUUGGCAUAAAUCACCAAAAAGGGGGGGAUUGAAAGGGAAAUGUGCCCUUGGGCCAUUUCUAAGUAUUUUGGUGAUUGAGUGUCAACACAAGUGCUUGAAUGUGAAUCAAUGCCCAUGGAUGAACAAAGUGCAAAUCUAGAGCAAAGGUAUGUUUCUAAGUCUUAGUACAUUGGUUUUGUGUACUAAUAUACUUGUCUAAGUAUUAGAAACAGGAAGAAGAAGAAAAGAAGAGAGUUGGCUGUGUACAGCCAAGAGGCUGUUUCGGUUUGGGGCACCGGACUGUCCGGUGGUGCACCGGACAGUGUCCGGUGCGCCAGGCUGCCUCGGCCGAAGAGGUCGCUCUCGGGAAUUUGCUGACGGCGUACGGCUAAAAUUCACCGGACUGUCCGGUGUGCACCGGACUGUCCGGUGAGCCAACGGUCGGCCGGGCCAACGGUCGGCCGCGCGAUCUGCGCGGGACACGUGGCCGAGCCAACGGUUGGAAGGGGGCACCGGACUGUCCGGUGUGCACCGGACAUGUCCGGUGCGCCAAUGGCUCCCGCAUCUGCAACGGUCGACUGCGCUGUUUAAGGAAGGAAAUCGGGCACCGGACAGUGUCCGGUGUGCACCGGACUGUCCGGUGCGCCCGACGACAGAAGGCAAAGAUGGCCUUCCAGAUUUGUUCUCAACGGCUCCUAGCUGCCUUGGGGCUAUAAAAGGGACCCCUAGGCGCAUGGAGGAGAAAACCAAGCAACCUAAGAGCAUUCUUGAUCAUCCACACUCAUUCUUUGCGCAUUCGUUUGUCAUUCUAAGUGAUUCGAGCUCCGUUCUAGUGAGAACUUUGAGAUAGUCUUUUGAGCUCGAUUCUUGGCCGUGUGUGUGCGCAUUUUUGCUGUGGAUUUGUGUGUGUUGCUUCCCUCCCUUACUCCGUAUUUCUUUGUGAAUCUCAAGUGUAAGGGCGAGAGACUCCAAGUUGUGGAGAUUCCUCGCAAACGGGAAAUUGAAAGGAAAAGCAUAACACUGUGGUAUUCAAGUUGAUCAUUGGAUCACUUGAGAGGAGUUGAGUGCAACUCUCGUCCGUUGGGACGCCACAACGUGGAGUAGGCAAGUUUUGUACUUGGCCGAACCACGGGAUAAAUCACUGUGUCUUCUCUGUGUUGAAUUCUUUGUGAUUGUCAUAUUGUGCAAGAUCUCCUCUCUAGCCACUUGGCAAUUAUUGUGCUAACCCUUAACAAGCUUUUGUGGCUAUAAGUUUAAGUUUUACAGGAUCACCUAUUCACCCCCCCUCUAGGUGCUCUCAGGGUUUCCGAGGGUUCUUGUACUCGGCGGCGGCGACAAGGUCCGCGUCGGCGGCGUCGCGUUUCGCUUGCGACUUCUUCUUGCCUUUCUUCUUGGCGCCACGCUGAGUUGACGCCUCGGGGGCGUCUUCCGGUGGGCGGCCCUGGGGCUGCUUGUCCUUCCGGAAGAUAGCCUCAACCGCCUCCUGGCCAGAGGCGAACUUGGUGGCGAUGUCCAUCAGCUCGCUCGCCCUGGCGGGGGUUUUGCGACCCAGCUUGCUGACCAGGUCGCGGCAAGUGGUGCCAGCGAGGAACGUGUCGAUGACAUCUGAAUCGGUGAUGUUGGGCAGCUCGGUGCGCUGCUUCGAGAAUCGCCGGAUGUAGUCCCGGAGAGACUCUCCCGGCUGCUGUCGGCAGCUUCGGAGGUCCCAGGAGUUUCCGGGGCGCACGUACGUGCCCUAGAAAUUGCCGGCGAAGGCUUGGACCAGGUCGUCCCAGUUGGAGAUCUGCCCCGGAGGCAGGUGCUCCAACCAGGCGCGAGCGGUGUCGGAGAGGAACAAGGGGAGGUUGCGGAUGAUGAGGUUGUCAUCGUCCGUUCCACCCAGUUGACAGGCCAGCCGGUAGUCCGCGAGCCACAGUUCCGGUCUCGUCUCCCCCGAGUACUUUGUGAUAGUAGUCGGGGGUCGGAACCGGGUCGGGAACGACGCCCGUCGUAUGGCGCUGCUGAAAGCCUGCGGACCGGGUGGUUCGGGCGAGGGACUCCGAUCCUCCCCGCUGUCGUAGCGUCCCCCACGCCUGGGGUGAUAGCCUCGGCGCACCCUCUCGUCGAGGUGGGCCCGACGGUCGUGGUGAUGGUGCUCAUUGACGAGGCGACCCGGGGCCGCAGGCGCUGUGUCGCGCGUGCGCCCGGUGUGGACCGAGGCUUCCCGCAUGAAUCGGGAAGUCGCGGCGCGAUGUUCCGAGGGGUACCCCUGCCUUCAGGAGGCGGAGCUUUCGGCCCGUCGGACCGCGGCGCCCUCCAGGAGAUUCUUGAGCUCUCCCUGAAUCCGCCGCCCCUCGGUGGUUGAUGGCUCCGGCAUCGCGCGGAGAAGCAUUGCUGUUGUAGCCAGGUUCUGGCCGACUCCACUGGAAGCGUGUGGCGGCCUCACCCGGACAUCAUCGGCGAUGCGGUGCUGGAUACCCUAGGGUAGAUGGCGCACUUCUCCGGCCGGAGGUUGGCCCGCCCAUUCCUGCUCGAUGUCCCGGCGGAUCGGCUCAAGCGUUCCUGCUCCCUCGUCGAGCCUGGCCUGCACCCCACGGAUUUGCUCGAGCUGUGGGUCAGCUAGCUCCCGUUGGAUGUCAACGCGAGGCACAUGCCUAGGGAGAUCACCGUUCUCCGGCACACCAAGAUGGUUGCCUUCGGAGGGACCCCCUAGAUCGACGUGGAAACAUUCACGACUUGGGCCGCAGUCCUCGUCGCCGAGGCUGCGGCUACCGUCGGAACAGUCGGAAAGGCAGUAGUCGCAUGCGGUCAUGAAGUCCCGCAUGACACUGGGGUUACCAAGUCCGGAAAAAUCCCAACAGAAGUCGGGCACGUCAUCUUCCUCGGACCCCGAGGGCCCGUAGGUUGAGACGUCCGUCAGCCGGUCCCAGGGUGACCGCAUACGAAACCCCAGAGGGUUUGGACUCGCCUCUACGAGAGCGUCCGCCAAAGCGAAGUCGCUUGGCGGGUCAAGGCCGAAUCCAAAGGGCGUGAGAUGGGAAUCGGUGGGUACCUCUUGGUCGACGGGCGGUGACGAAGUCACGUCAGGGACUGACCGCACCGUCGUCUCAGGUACGAGGGUGACGCCCAGCAAGCCUUUCGCGAUCGUGCUGGCGUCGUCCGUUUGCUUGGGAUUGGCGUGUUGCGGGGAGACGGCGCUCGUCUUCAUCUCAAACGCGAGGUCGAUGCCCGACGUGCCCCCCGUUGGGGUGCCGGUGUCGUCGACUCGCUCGACAGCCGAUGAGGUGCCGCCUCCUGCUUGGCCUUGGUUGCCCCGCCUCCUCCUCCGUCGGUGGGGGAGAGGGCGGGGUGAGCUCGAACGUUGUUCUUCCACCACGCGGGGAGGACGUCGUCGAUUCCGCCGCCGGUAGGCGGGCUGUCGGCCGCCAUUGUCGCUGUCGCACGGCGGGGGAAGGAGUAUCAUGUCGUAGCUGCCGUCGAGGGACAUGAACUCAAGACUCCCGAAAUGGAGCACCGUCCCGGGCUGGAAAGGUUGCUGGAGACUGCCCAUCUGGAGCUUGAUGGGUAGCUGUUCGUCAACACACAGCAGGCCCCUACCUGGCGCGCCAACUGUCGGCGUUUCGAGACUGGGGGGGUCCCUGGGCCGACGAGUGAAGAUGUCGCCGCGUGCCCCAGCCCAGAUGGGUCAGCGCGAGACGGAGCGCGAAGGGGGGAAAAAGGCAGCCGGAGCGAGAGAGAGAGAGGUGGGAAUCCCGCAGCCUUCGUGUUUGUCCCGCGCCAGGGUCGGGUGCGCUUGCAGUAGGGGGUUACAAGCGUCCACGCGGGAGGGGAGCGAGCGACCUCACGCGAGCGCCUGUCCCGUCCUCUUCCCCGCGCGGCCAACCCUCUGUAAGAGGGCCCUGGUCCUUCCUUUUAUAGGCGUAAGGAGAGGAUCCAGGUGUACAAUGGGGGGGUGUAGCAGAGUGCUAAUGUGUCUAGCGGAGGAGAGCUAGCGCCCUAAGUACAUGCCAUCGUGGCAGCCGGAGAGGUUUUGGCACCCGGUUCGUGUGGUGUCGUGGUCGUCGGAGGAGCGCUGGAGCCUGGCGGAAAGACAGCUAUCGGGGCUGUCGAGUCCUUGCUGACGUCCUCUUGCUUCCGUAAGGGGGCUGAGAGCCGCCAUCGUCAUAGAGCGUGCAGGGCGCCAUCAUUACUUGUCUGGCGGAGCGAGCCAGAUGGGACGCCAGUCUUGUUCCCCAUAGCCUGAGUCAACUUGGGGUAGGGUAAUGAUGGCGCCUCCUGUUGACGUGGUCGGUCCGUGCCUUCGGUUGGGCGAUGUGGAGGCUUCUCCGAGGUCGAGGUCGAGUCUGUCUUCCGAGGCCGAGGUCGAGUCCGAGCCCCUGGGUCGGGCGAGGCGGAGAUCGUCGGCGGAGGCCAGGGCUAAGUCCGAGCCCUGGGGUCGAGCGAAGCGGAGUUCGUCGUCUUCCGGGGCUGAGCCCGAGUCCGAGCCCUGGGUCGGGCGGAGCGGAGUUCGCCGUCUUCCGGGGCUGAGCUCGAGUCCGAGCCCUGGGUCGGGCGGAGCGGAGUUCGCCGUCUUCCGCGGCUGAGCCCGAGUCCGAGCCCUGGGUCGGGCGGAGCGGAGUUCGUCGUCUUCUGGGGCUGAGCCCGAGUCCGAGCCCUGGGUCGGGCGAAGCGGAGUUUCCUAUGGUGCCUGAGGCCGGGCCUGACUGCCGGUCAGCCUCACUCUGUCGAGUGGCACAGCAGUCGGAGCGGCGUAGGCGGCGCUGUCCUUUUGUCAGGCCGGUCAGUGGAGCGGCGAAGUGACUGUGGUCACUUCGGCUCAGUCGACUGGAGGGCGUGCGUCAGGAUAAAGGUGUCAGGCCACCUUUGCAUUAAAUGCCCCUGCGAUUUGUUCGGUAGCGUGGCGAUUUGGCCAGGGUUGCUUCUUGGCGAAGACUGGGCCUCGGGCGAGCCGGAAGUAUGUUCGUCGCUGGAGGGGGGCCUCGGGCGAGACGGAGAUCCUCCGGGGUCGGCUGCCCUUGCCCGAGGCUAGGCUCGGGCGAGGCGUGAUCGAGUCCCUCGAAUGGACCGAUCCCUGACUUAGUCGCACCCAUCAGGCAUUUGCAGCUUUGUGCUGAUGGGGGUUACCGGCUGAGAAUUAGGAGUCUUGAGGGUACCCCUAAUUAUGGUCCCCGACACAUAUUUUGGUGGUUGGGGCUAUAAAUACCCUAACCACCCCACAUUCAAUGGCAUCCAAGUUUCUACACUUCUACACCUUACAAGAGCUAUAACAUUUAAUACAAGACACACCAAAGAGAUCAAAUCCUCUUCCAACUCCACACAAAAGCUUUAGUGAUUAGAGAGAGUGAUUUGUUGUGUUCAUUUGAGCUCUUGCGCUUGGAUUGCUUCUUUUCUUUCUCAUUCUUCUUGCGAUCAACUCAAUUGUAACCGAGGCAAGAGACACCAAUUGUGUGGUGGUCCUUGCGGGAACUUAGUGUCUCGUUUGAUUGAGAAGAGAAGCUCACUCGGUCCGAGGGACCGUUUGAGAGAGGGAAAGGGUUGAAAGAGACCCGGUCUUUGUGACCACCUCAACGGGGAGUAGGUUUGCAAGAACCGAACCUCAGUAAAAACAAAUCAUCGUGUCUCGCUCUUUAUUCGCUCACGAUUUGUUUUGCGCCCUCUCUCUCGGACUCAUUAUUAUUUCUAACGCUAACCCGGCUUGUAAGUUGUGCUUAAGUUUGUAAAUUUUAGAUUCGCCAUAUUCACCCCCUCUAGGCGACUUUCAACCUAGUUAAUGAUCCAUUGUUCCUGUAGAAUAGUCCCAAACACCCAUAAAGGAAAAAAAAUAAAAAAUAUGAAACCUGUAAAGGAUCCAUGGUUCCGUCGGGCCGUCUGGGCCAGAAAGAGGCCCAUGUGUUUUCCUCUAAUUUCGUGGUGAAAUAUUUCAAAAGUUUUGAAUUCAGGUCCUCCCAAAUACCAUCCCUAUCUCAAAAAAAGCAAUCGUAUCGUCUAUCGUAGCACGGUAAUCGGAAGCGUCCAAGACUAUCUUUUCAAAACAAAAACUAGAAAUCACGGGGAGCGUCCAACGCUACUUUUUUUUAAAAAAUCAAAAACUUAAAAGAAAUCACGGGUAGCGCCUCCGGUCUCCCACUCUCGCUGAAGUAGGGUCCCCCGUUUCAAAUUGACACCCCGUCCAACGCAAACGAGAGGGAAAGCCGAAGCGAGUGCGAGUGCGGCCCUCAGCUGCUGCAGUUGCUCCUGCUCGUUUCUGCCUGCUCGUUUCUGCGGCGGCGGCGGCGGCGGCGGCCUAGCACCUGAGCGGGGCGGCGAGAGGGGACGGAGAUGGAUAUCGCGCGGGCGGCUGCUGGCGUGGCCUGCUGCAAGGAGCACCAGAGGAUCUACGCCGAGUGGUUCGCCCUGGCCGACCCAGGUAAGGCGCUCCUGCCCCUCGCUCCCACGCCGCCCCACAAAAUCAGCGGAGGUUUGAGGCUUACUGCUCCGGCGGGGGGGCUUUGUUGUAGAUGGCGACGGCCGCGUCACGGGCGCCGAUGCCACCAGCUUCUUCGCCAUGUCCGCGCUUUCACGCGCCGAUCUCAAGCAGGUGAGCACGGGGCCGCUGGUCUCCUCCUGCUCCUCUUCUGACUUCUGGCCUGGGUGAUAUCAUCUAGGAUUAUCGUUGACGAAUGGGUAGUGACAUUUCCCUGUUUGGGGAUUUGCGUGCGAAGGUGUGGGCGAUCGCGGAUUCCAGGCGGCAGGGGUACCUCGGAUUCGCCGAGUUCGUCACAGCAAUGCAGGUUCGUUCCCUCGUGUGGAUUAGCCGUAGCGUGUGAAUCCGACGAUCAACCGUGAGGUUGCGCUGCUGGUUUGGUGAACUGACGUGACGGUCUAACACGAUCCAUAUGCAAACUGCAGCUCGUGUCUCUGGCCCAAGCAGGGAACGAGAUCACACAGGACAGUCUGAAACGUGAAGGUAGUCGGCUGUGAACUGAACUUUACCUUCCUUUUCCCCUUUUGUGAGUUCAUUUGGACGUGGAUGUUAAAUCUUUUGUUUAUGGUGGUUCGUGGAGACCUGAGCACCUUGGAUCCGCCUGUGAUGGAAGGUGUUGAUGAGCUACUGGCUGUAAGUCUGAAAUCUUCAGAUUCUGUGUCAUUCAAAAUGUAUUUACCCCUUUCAACACGAUACUAUGAUGGAUUGUUGUGAUGUAAUGAUGGAUUGUUUCUUUCCAGAGAUCCAAGGCUGUUGUGAAGAGAGUUCACCCAGAUGACAAUGGUAUCCGAUAUGUUUAACCCUAGUUAUACCCAUGUGGCUGAAUCGUCUUUGAUAUCACUUACCUAUAUGGCUAUGUCUGCUCUUCAGGCACCACUCAGGCCCAAGCACCUUCCAUAUAUCACUGGUUUGGUUCAAAAUCAGCACAGAAGGUAUUAGAUUAACUUGUUGGAUUUGGAAUAUCAUGCAAAAUCCUUGGCUGCUGCUUUCAAUAUGCUUUUCACUACGGCACAAUCCAUUUUUCAUGGUAUGUCGAGCAUUGUGGUUUAGCGUUUGAUUUAUUUUGCGUUUAAUCUGGCAUUCUGCAGGUGCAGAUGCCUCUGACUGCUGUUACCUCUGUAAUUGAUGGCUUGAAAAGACUCUAUGUUGAAAAACUGAAGCCUUUGGAAGUCGCCUACAGAUACAAUGAUUUUUCUCACCCAUUAUUGGUAAAUAAUUCCAUUCACAGUUUUGUCUUGUUUGAUGUAUCAGUGUUAUUGUUCUGAAGUUCUUUUGAUGUUCAUUGUGCUCUCACGUCAUUAUUUACAUGUCACUUCAUUGCUCCUACCAUUUUCUAGACAAACAGUGAUUUUGAAGCAAAGCCAAUGGUUAUGCUCUUGGGUCAGUAUUCAACAGGGAAAACAACAUUCAUUAAGCAUCUGCUAAAGACAAGCUACCCAGGUUUGAUGCUUCAUCUUAUAAAACAGAUUUGAGUAUCAGGCUUAUUGGCCAUUUUGUUUUCAAUUGCCUCUGAACGCAUUAAAAUUUGACUUUUUUGUCCGUUUGAAUUUCAGGAGCUCACGUCGGACCAGAGCCAACAACUGAUAGAUUCGUAGUUGUCAUGGUAACUGUUGGCGUGAAUAUUGUAUUUGAAAGAUCUGACUGAUGUCAAAUUGUCAAUACAAAAUGGAUAUGGGCAUGUGUACUGAGAACGUUUCCCUUAUAUUGGCUAAAGCAAUGUAGUUGGUCUUUGCUAUUAUGAUAUCAUUGCAACAACUACUAGUCAGUAUCAUGAACUGGUGAUUGCUGAAAAUAAAACUUUAAUAUUGAAAAUUUAGAAUAAUGGUUAUGCAUUUUUUACCCCUUUAAAGCUUCCUUCAAACCAUACCGCAUGCUCAUGGGAUGUUUCUUCAUUUAUUUUAGUGGUUCAAAACAAAACUUUACUGCUAUUCUUUUACAAAUCAUAUCGGUUUGCAUUAUCCACUGGCUCCCAGGCUGCCCUGUCAAUGUAUACAUUCUUUUUUUUAUUUGUCCCUCAAAUUAAUUUUGUUUUCAUUUCAGUCAGGAUCUGAUGGAAGGACCAUUCCUGGCAAUACUAUUGCCGUUCAAGCCGACAUGCCAUUCACUGGUCUUACAACCUUUGGGGGAGCGUUUCUGUCGAAGUUUGAAUGCUCUCAGAUGCCACAUCCCGUAAGAUUUAGUUUGAUACCGGUAACAUGUAGAAUGCAUUCAUUUAGAAACUGAAACCUCCUUUGUUUCUUGAAGCUGCUAGAGCAUAUCACCUUUGUGGACACUCCUGGUGUUCUCUCUGGGGAAAAGCAACGGACCCAACGUAGCUAUGAUUUCACUGGUGUGACCUCAUGGUUUGCUGCCAAGUGUGACCUUAUCCUUCUUCUGUUUGACCCUCACAAGCUUGAUAUAAGUGAUGAGUUCAAACGUGUCAUUUCAUCUUUACGUGGGCAUGAUGACAAAAUACGCGUAGUGUUGAACAAGGCCGACCAAGUUGACACACAACAGGUACAAGUUUUUCCUUGCAAUCGAUUUGUAUGACCUGUUAUGCUUAUCCUUUAUUUCGUUUGCUAAAAGGUCUAUUAUGAUGAAUAAUUUUUUUUCUUCUGUCUUCUGCGCUACAGCUUAUGAGAGUGUAUGGUGCAUUGAUGUGGUCUCUUGGGAAAGUGCUAAAUACUCCUGAGGUUGUGCGUGUGUAUAUCGGGUACUUUCUUAUGCCUGCUAUUUGUUACAUUUACUCCUCUAUUACUUUUGAGCAAUGGACGUGUUACAAGGCUUGUACAAUAAGUAAAAAAAUAUAUGCAUGUUGAUGGAGGUUCAAAAUUCAAAUUAAAAUAUAUAUCUAAUUUGCAUUGGGUUGUAGCCGAAUCUUCACAAAAGUUAGCAGUUGUUCAACAGAGUAUAAACUAAUUGGGUUGUCACUUUGGAAUCAUUAUUUGCAGAUCAUUUAAUGAUAAGCCAGUGAAUGAUUCAGCUGUUGGGCCAAUUGGAAAAGACUUGUUUGAGAGGGAGCAAGAUGACCUCCUCUGUGACCUGAAGGACAUUCCUAAGAAAGCCUGUGAUCGACGGGUAAGUUGAAAUGUUGAGUCAUCUGUCAGAAUCCUCCCUUCCUGUACUGGAUUUCUGAAACGGACAGCACCGUUUCUUCCAGGUCAAUGAGUUUGUUAAGCGUGCCCGAGCUGCCAAGAUCCAUGCUUACAUAAUUGGCCAUCUGAAGAAGGAGAUGCCUGCAAUGAUGGGAAAAGCCAAGGCUCAGCAGCGACUCAUAGACAACUUAGACGAGGAGUUUGCAAAGGUACUUACACAUAACUUGAUUGCUCGUAUGUCUAUGACUGGGGUCUAAUUUCAUAUUUUCAGCAGAAGAUUUUCUUGAUAAGAUUGAUCAUUUGAAUAGUAAAAUGUUGCUUUUGGGCAAAAGUUUUUUCUUGGGGGGUUACUAAUGGGUAGGCUGCAGGUAUAUGAUAACUCGUCUACAACUAACCUUGAUUUGGUCGCACCUAAAUCCAAAGUUACUGUCAUUUUUCCUCUUUUCUUUUUGCUCAACAUCCCUCUGCUUGGCUGAUACUCGUGGUCCGGUGGAACAGGUGCAGAGGGAAUACCAUCUCCCCGCCGGAGACUUCCCCGACGUCGAGCACUUCAAGCAGGUGCUGGGCGGGUACAGCAUCGACAAGUUCGAGAAGCUGAAGCCGAAGAUGGUGCAGGCGGUGGACGACAUGCUCGCUCACGACAUCCCGGAGCUCCUCAAGAACUUGCGGAACCCGUACGAGUGAACUGAUCUGACCUCUCGCGUCCGUCGGUUGUAAAAAGAUUAUCUUAGCUGUCACGUCCGGUGAUGGCGGACGGACGAGGCAGACGUUCCUGGGAGGGAGAUGCCUAGACGGUUACGGGUCACUACUUCUAGCUGUCCGCAGCUGUGCCAAAACCGAGAGGACACAUGAGGGUUCAGAUCGGACAGCCACAGCGCAUAGCCUGUGUUGGUUUCGGCGUCAGUGCUCUCUGCACGCGAAGGAGCUGCUGCGGCACCGUUGCCGUGCCGUCUCGCUGUGAUACAUUUUCCCUCGUGACGAGAUGAAAAGAGAGUUGCAGGCGGCAGAAGCGAUACGGUGCAAUGAUAGCUUGAGACCAUGUGACGUUGCUGGGCCUGGGCGGCACACGAUGCGUGACGCACCAGCGCCGCGCCGCACCCGCUGCCUUUGCCCUGUGGUGUCCCGGCUGGUGGUGUUUUGCGUACGAGCGCGGGGCAGAUCGUUUGGACCUGGAUGGACGGUGUCUGGCCGACUCCACACACAUGAUAAUGGGCUCGCCCUUGAAGUGGGGCCGUGUGUCGUCCGUCCCUCUCCCUUGGUGGCCUGCUUUUUUUUUCUUUGAAAAAAUUACUGGAACCUCUAGAUAUUGUUUUCCCAGAAAUCCUAGAUGAGCUGGUGGAUUACACGCAUUCCAAAGCGGUCAAAGAACAUGGACGUGAGACAGGUAAAUGGCGGUUAGUUUUUAUGUUUAAUUACCGCACUGGCUUGGCUUAGCUUUGCACGUGGAAGAAGUGAAACAAGCUCGAUUCAGCUCCCGUUUGGCAGCACUAAACUGACGGUGUCCACAGCCACAGGCAGGCAGGCAGCACAGUGGCGCGAAUAUGCCGCCCCCGCACUAGUGGCACCGCGGCUACCAGCACGACACGCUCGGGCGCACCCAGGCCAGGCCGGCAAGCGUCGCAUCGGCAUCGCUAAAAUCCGGCGCGCCCAACCCACCACACCACACCGCUGGGUCUGGCCUCUGGCGGUGGCGACUGGCGAGGCUUGAGAGGAGGCGCGGCAGGCAGAGGCAGCCGACCGACCCCGGGACGUGGACGUGGUGACGCGGUCGGGGAAAUCAACCCGACAGACCGACGCGGCGCCCGGGUCGUGGCGGGCCCGGCGUGUCAGCCUCCGCGGGGCCGUGCCGACCAAACAGGCGCGGGCGCGGGAGGAAAGGUAAGGAAAGGCCACUCGGGGGGCGGGGCGGGGCCUGGCCAAGCCAAGCCAAACGCGGAGUCGCCGAGGAGGAGGAGGAGGACAAGGCACAACAAGCCGCACGAGAAGGCAGGCAGGGCAGGGCAGGGCAGGGCAGAGGGGAAGAAAGAGGAGGAGGAGAAGAAGCGCGUGGAGGAGCGGGAUGCGGCGGGCGAGGCUGCCGCCGGUCCCGGUCCCGACGGCGCCGGGGGACGCGGGGCCGGAGGUGAAGUACCGCGGGGUGAGGCGGCGGCCGUCGGGGCGGUACGCGGCCGAGAUCCGGGACCCGGCUAGGAAGACCCCGAUCUGGCUGGGCACCUUCGACUCGGCCGAGGCCGCGGCCCGCGCCUACGACGCCGCAGCCAGGACCAUCCGCGGCGCCGCCGCGCGGACCAACUUCCCCUCCGCGCCCACCUCCGCCGCGGUCGCGCCGCCGCCGCCACUCCCCGCCUCAACCGCCGCCGCGGCGGGCGCGGCGACGUCCAGCCUCAGCAGCACCGUGGAGUCCUGGAGCGGCGGCGGCGGCGGCGGCGCGCCCGCCGGGAUCCUCCGCGCCGCGGCCGCCCCGGCCGCCGAGGAGGACUGCCGCAGCUACUGCGGCUCCUCGUCGUCGGUCCUCUGCGAGGACGGCGCGUCGGGUCCGGGCUGCGGCGACGAGGCCGCCGCGCCGCCGCCGUUGCCGUUCGAUCUGAACGUGCCGGACCCGGCGGCCGACGACAUGGACUGGCGCUGCGACACGCUGCUCCGCCUCUAGCCGCCGCCGCCGCAGGCCCGCAACCACUCCUCCCCAGACUGGUGCCCCCAGGAUAUCUCGCUCGCUUCGCGUGGCCGGCCGACGCUGAUCCGGCGGAACGGAGCGGAGCAAUGCGUGCGUGCGUACCCCACCCCGCCAUGAAGUGCUAUCGUGCUAUUUUGCUAUUCUCUCCAUAGAAAUUGAUAAUUUUAGUCUCUCUCUCUUUUUUUUUACCACUGCCAAGACUCGGUAAUUACUCUGUGAUAAUGUGAAUAACUCAUUAUGUAAUCCGUGGGGAGUGGAGGGAGCCUGGUCUCGCGAAACCUUCCUGUCUCCUCCUGCUGUGUGUGUAUCUGUAGCAGCAGCAGCAGCAGCACGAUGUAAUACUGUCUGUCUUGCUGUAAUUCUCAAGAGAUAAUGGAAUUAAGAGUGAUUUACAGACACCUUGCUUCUGUGUACUUACUGGCUGCUACUUACUUCGAUUGUGAUAUAGGGCGUGUUCGGCUGGCUGCAAGCCGACACUGUUGCAGCUGUUUGGAUUGCUGCAGCUGCAAUCCAUAGAGAGAAAAAUACUGUAGAAGCCGUAGCCGCAGCCGGAUUGCAGCCGCAGCAAGCCGCAGCGAACAAGCUGAUAUACUUGUGUGCCCUGUCCUUCAUGAGAGCAGAGCUGCAGAAGUUCUCGAGUGGAAUCAGGAUUUCCAGGAGUAUGAUCGGCUUCAGUCCAAAGCCAGCCGAUAGCAUCUGAGAUCUGAUCCGGGCUGGGACGCGUUGCGGCACUCUGCAGAGCGGGCAGAAAACCCCAUCAGGUCAGGGUCCGGGGCUGGGGACACACGUUGCCGUCGGACGAGCCUGUGCUGUGCGCCGCGGAUCGGGACUGCGAUUG